rnacentral:lncRNA from 1 species
UAAAUUCUAGAUAGAAGAUGGUUAAACAAGAAAAAUAAAUUCUAGAUAGAAGAUGGUUAAACAAGAAAAACUACCUCCCUCUCUCCUUCAAUCUCUCUCUUUCUGCAAUCUUUCAAGGUCACCAGACAUUGAUAAAGUAAUAUAAUUCAUAACUCCCUUUCCCACUUUAUCUCUUUCAAGAUUCUCUUUUUUCUCUCUCUUUUAUUUCCUCUCUUUCUUUCUCCAUACAUCUUAUCUUUGAGCUACAUCUCCUAAAGAUAUAUCCCUAAUUUUCAAACUAGUUUAAGCUGCCCAGCUAGUUCUGCUAUCUUUUUUAGGGUUUUCACAUGGUUAGCCCCUCUUGUUAUCAACACUAAAGCCCACACAUGCAAUAUCUUUGUUCGUUGAAGACAUCUAGUGUUGAAUAGUUGAUGUUCUUGUAUUUUUUUUACUUGUUUAUGGCUAGGGAUAUCGAUGGCUUUCUAGCUUCUCUCAUGUAAAAUGACUUCUUCUUCUUUUAUUUCUCUCUACAAUAUUGCCUCACUACUUACUCUCUUCUUCUUUCUACUUCUCACUGUUAUGGCCGAAGAUGGACAAAUACAACCGAAUUCUUUACAAGUUAAUUAUCAUUCAUCAGCAGAUCACAAUGCUAUCAAGAAGAGACUGAGACAAGAUCAAAUUAUUACUAGUAACACAGUUCAAUAUUCUCCAAUUAUGGGUAGAAGAGGAAAACAUGAGUACCCUAAAGUUCAUCAAUCACCAUCCUACUUAUGGAGAGACAAAUCAUUGAAUGCUAGUGCUCAUGAAGUUCCUAGUGGUCCAAAUCCCAUUUCAAAUAGGUAAUUAGCCAGUAAUUAAACAACAAAUGAGAAAGGUUAAUUUCUUAUAAACUUCUUCUCUGUCUGUACCUUUAAUUUCAUUUAUGCAGGUUUCUAAAGGUAUGUAUACACUAUUAAGUUAGUCUUCAUCAUAGAAUUAAUCAUGAAUAUUUGUCUUAUAUUAUGUUUUUGGUGUCCAUUAUCUGUAAUUUCAAUGUGAUUUUACUACAACUUCUGUUAAGAUUAUAUGAUUGUAUUUAAUCAUUUGGUAAUGAGAAUGCAAAGAUCAUGAAAUCCAUAUUUGUAAGUAAUCUUUGAUUUCUAUUCUUUUUAGUACAUCAAUGGCCACAACAUUUUAAUGUCAGUGUCCCUUACUAUUUUUUGUCACUUUUCGCUUUGAUAAAGCUGAAUAUGUAUGCUGUUUCCACCACCAUGCCCAAAAAGAUAAAGACAAUCUUAAUUACUUUCCCUGCACAUAUUAAUCACUAAACCGUGUAAUUAACAUUAGUAUUAUGUUAAUUAGUGCCUACUAGAUCACUAUGGAUUGUUCACCAUAUCUGAAACAGAAAUUCCAAUUAUGCCUAAAAUAUUCACGAUAAGACAAAUAUUUGUGAUUAUAGUGGAAAAUGAAAGUGACGUUAAGCAGAUAAACCUAGAGCAUUUACGGAAAAAAAAAGAGACUAAUCUUAUUGUAUGUUUGAAAUGCAAAAGAUAGAGUAGACCUAUAAUAUAUUUAAUUUGCAUGGGCUAAUAGCAACCAAAAGAGUACCUGAGAAGGUUCAAUAUACUAAUAUUGUUAAUUAGACUCCACUCUGUUCAAAGUAAUGCAUAUAUGGUUUGCCUUUUUUUAUAGAAAUAAGAAAAAAUAAAAAUGGACACCAAAAAUUAAAGAGGGCGAACAAGCCAGUCCAAAUGAGCUAAAAAGUAUGUCUGAGGAACACAAUGAUUAAUAUACGGGGAAGUAGGGAUUGGUCUUCUCUGUGUUAAGAUGAGACUGCAUGCAAAUUAUGACAACUCAAGGAAGGACGACCAUAUAUAUGAAACAUUAUCACUCAUUUUACGUGACAAUUUUAUUUUAUUAAUUUGUUUAAAAAAUAUUUUUUUAUAUAUCAAACAUAAUUUGAUCUUAAUUUAUUUUCUCUCUCUUAAUAUUAUGCUUCUAUGGCCAAAAUUAAAUGUUUGUUUUUAUUCGUCUGGAGUACUUUAUAUACGCGUAUAUAUACACAAUUUUGUUUAUUAUCGAGACAACAUUGUAUUCCAAAGCUGGAGUUUAGCCUUUUCCUUUUGUUUUGGGGUGGUGGUUGGGGGAUAACUAGAGGGCAGUAGGUAGGGAAGAAGGGUCCCUUUCCCUGAGCUGAUUUUAAUGAGNNNNNNNNNNNNNNNNNNNNNNNNNUAUAUAUAUCUUUACCUCUCUUCAAUUAAUCUUCUUGUUUGUUACUCUUUCUUGUUUGCUUCUGGAUGGAAGUGUUUGCUUACCGAAAUGCCCGACUUGUUUUCAUUGGAAACGACAUGAAAUUAUUACCGUUUUCCUUUUUUCUUUUUCAGUUUCAAAUUUAAUUACUACUGAACUACUUGAAACUAUCCUCUUUGAAUGAUGAAAAGACUGAACUUUCUAUCCUGCCACUAACUAGCCAGUCGUGCUAGCUAAACCAAACAAACGAGUGGCAUUUGGAGGCGGAUCCAUGAUUUCAAGAGGAUAAGUGCACCAUUGUGAAAAUGUAGAUCUAGAAUUUAUAUUUGACGCGUUUAACUUUAGUCUCUUACUAUGAAGCCACGACACUUUUAAAAUAUAGAUUCAAAAUUAUAUUCUUUUGGAAAUUGAUGUGACUUUUACAUACAUACAUAUGUAUGUAUGUAUAUAUAUAUAUACAUACAUACAUACCAAAAACAAGAUCGUUCAAAGUGGGAUUUGAACCACCAAUAACUUUAUUUGUCGAGGUGCACCCAAUGAUUAUUGCACCAUAUGAGUCUUUGAACAUAGUUGCACAUACAUAUAUUUAGGUAAAUUUGAAAAAAUUAUAAUAUUAUUAUAUAUUAUUUAAGAAGAGAAGCAUGAGUUCACGUGAACUCAUAUCCCUUAACCUAGGUAUGCCCUCCGUAGCAUUUGUAAGUUAGUUUGUUAUUGAAAAGUUAGAAGUGAGAUUAUUCCCACAUCGGAAGAGAGAAGUAAUUCCUUUUGGAGCUUUUUAAGCACUUGUCCCUUUUAUGUCUUUGAUUUAGGACACAUACUUUUAAGUGUGUGCAAUUAAGUACACUAUAUAUUUAUAUAUUAUAUAAUCAAAGACUUGGACUUGGGCUUGGGCCGGGUCGGAUCCUAAAGUUAAUUAUUUUAUUUUGUGACAGAAAAAUCAAAUUUAUUUGAAUUUUAAAUUCAAAAUUCGAAUAAAUAGUUAUGUCUGUUAUGAAAGGGUCCAACCAAAUAUGUCUGUUUGUGAAGCAAGACAUCUUUUCUGAAAGGAUCUGUUGGUUGCCUAUAAAUACACAAGAAUUUCAACGUAGUGGCAUAGAAAAUCACAAGUGUUAUUGCAGGUUUUGUUGUAUCCUGAAGAGAAUCGUUUUGUAUUUUCCCUAAAUUAAUAUACAGGCGAUAACUCUUUAAGGACAGUCGAUUUUCACGCCUCAAAGCCAUUUUUGUUUAUUAUUUUUCUAACAGCAGCCUAUAUAUAAACUCCCAAAGAUAUAAAGAUUGCAAAGAAGAGUUGUCUAUAGUGUACUGUGAUACUAAAUAUGUAAUUAAUCUGUGCAAAAAGUUCAGAAUAAAAAAUGAAUAUGUACAGUUUAAUUGUAUAUUAGUAAUAACUUUGAUGAUGAAUCAUGAAUUGGUUUCAUACCUUAUUUAUAAUUUGAAUGUCCAUCACUUUUUACAAUGAUCCAAAGCCAAAUCUCAAUCUUUUUUUUGAGUUGAUUCAGGAAAAAGAAUGUAAACUAUGAAUGAAGACAGAAAAUAAAGGGCGAUGUUUUAACAAAUCUCAAAACUUUUAAAAAAAUAUUUCGUGCCUAUAAAAGUUUAUCUGAUGUAGCAUUUCAAAUUCUGGACAAAAUACCCAGCCCACCAAAAGAGAAAAGACACAAGAAGUAAAAAGUAAAAGGAGAGGAUACUUGUUAACCUUGGUUUGCAUUCUUUUACCAAAGUAGAGCAACCCGUCACUUCUUUAACUUUGGAUUAAAGAAGACAAUCAGUCCACAUGCAUAUAUAUUCUUUUUACAAUCUCAACGUUGUCUAAUCUACUGCACAUCAAUGUUUUCUCAGGUCAUCUAUUAGUCUUUGUUGAUGAGUUUUUCCAAAAAAAAAGUUACUUGGCUUAAAAUUAGAUUAAGCUCAAACCCCAAGAUCAGGGACAAUAUCAUGCCGUUGAUUGCAAAAAGUUUCUCUUUGACUGCACUUGACCAUUUACAUUUACCCCCUCGAUACAUCCUCUCUCCGGACUCCGCACAUAGCGGAAACUUAGUGUAUCGGGCUGCCCUUUAUACAUCCUCCUCCCGGAAAAAGAUGUUGUUACCAAUUUUCGCUUUCGACUCAACAAACCCUAUUCAUAAAGUUAAGAAAUUCAACUUGUCACCAUCUAUGAAAAUACUGAAAGCAAGUACUGUUGGAAAAAUAGGUCUACAUUACCUAAAAACAUUUUAGUUAUAUUUUCAACAUUCAUAACUUAAUUAUUUUAACAUUUUAGUUACUUUAAACAGUCAUAACUUAUUGUAACAUUUUUGUUAUAUUUUAGCUCUUAUUUUUAACAUUAUUACAAGUGUGAUAAAUGAAAAUUAAGCCGGGCACAUUGUUUGCCGUAAAAAUUGCACGGGGCGCCCUAUUUGGUCGCCCCCAUUUAACCUAUACCUAUUUUUUUAAAACUUUUAACUUGUACCACUUCUUAGAUAACUUCAGCCCCCUUUCUCCUCUUCAUACUCAUCUUCUCCAUUUGUCUUAGCCUAUCUAUUUGAUCGUUAUCAAUCAACUUCUUUUAUUUGUCUUCAUGUCCUCUCAAAACUUCUAUAUAUAAAACCAUAAUCCAUUUAAAAACAAAAAGAAAACUCAAAAUAUCAAUCCUUAAAAUUGGUGCAUAAUAGAUAUGCGAGGAAUCUACCGCAGUUUGAAGACAAAAUGCAGAGCCUAUUUUUUUUUAUUGGUCUUGCGUCAAAAUCUUUUUUGGACCAAUCCCAGAAACGAUACUGCAGUUAGAAGAUGUAGCCUACAGUGCAUAGAUUUUUGAAUGAACUUUUUGGCCAUAUCGCUGUGAUUCGUUUGAAAACGCUGGCUAGCAGACCGUAAGAUGGGAUUCUUCUUGCCUAUGAAUCUCAUUCUCACUUACAUUUGCAGGUAUUCAGCUGGACCUAAGUGAAAUAGGUUCAUUGCAUUAACUUGGGGUUGUGCAACUGUCUCAAAAACUUCAGCUUUCGCGAGUUACAAAAACAAUAACUUCAACUCAAGAGCUGAAGUUCGUCAGUUACAAAACAAAAAUUUCGCCAGUUACAAAACAAAAACUUCAGUUUUAGAGCUGAAAUUCGCCAGUUACAAAACAAAAACUUCAGCUCUAGAGCUGAACUUCAGGCCCGACUACUAGAAUGCUGAAGUUUUGCGUGAUUACCUUUGCUACUUCAACCCCGUAUGCUGAAGUUAUGCGAAAAAGGGGGUACGUUUGCAAUUUUUUUUAGCAAAACGGACACAAGUUAAAACUUGACACAAAAACGGGUAUAGAUACAAAUGGCCCAUGACUGGAUGGUCUAACGAGAUUUAGCCCAAUGAGUCCCGCAAUGGGAGACCCAAUUAUGAUUUCAAAAUUCCUUCUCAAACCCUUAUAUAAGGGCACACUUUUGUUGUUUUAGAGAGUGACACGUAAGUGUGUAAUAGUUGUCUCAUUGAUGUCAUCAUUUUGAGAAGAGUAAUAGAGAGGAAGCCUUGUUAGAAAUUAAAUUAAGAUUAAUUAUUAUUUUUAAGUUGUUUAGGAUUUGGUAUUUGUUAGUUUAUUUAAUUCAUGCUUAAUUAGGAUUCAUAGUCGAAAUUAUAUGGGAAUAGGUUUUCUAGAUUCUAGUCAAAUUUGGUUUGUAAUAUUAUAAAUAAGGGUGCUACUACAUAUUUUCAAUUGUAGAGAGGGUAACUACGAUGUAGAUAGAUUCAAGAGAUUAUGAGUUGUGAAAAAACCACCUACCACGUUCUAUCCCUAGUUUAAUAAAUUUCUUCUAUACAAUCUUUGUUGAAUUUUUUUGCUUGUGCCUAAAUUCUUUUUUGGGUUCUUUCAAUCCUUCAAAUUGAUAUCUGAGCAUGUGUGAGAUUCUGUCAGAAUAGGUGAAGAUCCUAAAAGAUUAUGGAUACUCCAUAUUUACAUGAUUGCCAUGCUUUCAAGUUUGAUGGCAAAAUUAAUUUUGAAGACUCACAUCAAUAUAUAAAAUAUUUUUUCGAUGUUAUUGGAUAAUGACCCAUUAUUAAAAUAGGAUUUGAGUAACUCCCAGAAGGUAUAACAUUGACUGGUGAUGCAGCUAAGCAAUUAGAGAAAAAUAGACAAUUGGAUUAUAAGGCAUGAUACUAUCUCACCAACAAGGCCGAAUUGCAUGUAUCUAAAAAAUAUUUGCAUGCAAAUUCAUCAGAGGGGGCUUGGACAAUCUUGGUGAAGUCAUAUCAAACAGUUGUUGACAUAAAGAAGGAGAAACUGCAAGAGUUUAGGAGUCAAUUUGAGUUGACUUAUGUGAGACCAACAUAGUCCGUCAAAGAAUUUUUUACAAGAAUUGAAGAAAUAGUCAAUGGUCUAAGGACCAAUGGAGAAGUAUUGGAAGAAGUUAAAAUUGUUGAAAAAAUAUUGUAGUCUCUCAGUUUAAAAUUUAACAACGAGAAAGUUUUUCUUGAUGCUAUCGAAGAUCUUAGCACUCUCAAACUUCAUGAUUUAGAAUGCGGAUUGGUAACAUACGAGAGAUCAUUGAAUCAACAUAAAGAUGAGACAUUGGAGAAGGCAUCACAAGAAAAGGAUGAUCAACCAAAAGAAAAAAAAACACAUCAAACAUGACGAAAAUAAAUCAAGAAUGCCAAAAUUCAAAAACAGAGGAGAAAAAAAGAGCAGGUACAUGUAAUUUUUAUUGUGAUAGUAAUUCUAUUAAAUGUGAAGGAAAGUCAAAUAAUAUUCAAAUUGAUCUGUCAAAAAUUUCUUCGGUUAUUAAAAACGAUGAUUUUGUUGCAAGGGAUGUUCGACCAAAAGUGGUUGAUAUUUCACAAGAAAAUUUAUUUAAUGGUAUUGAAGAUGAACCUAGUAAUGAAAGAAACAAGAUGGUUCAUCAAGAGAAAGUUUUUAUUGAUCAAUCGAAGACUAAGGCAGAAAUAACUAGGGAUUCAGAACCAGAACAAUGCACGAUUAUAGAUAUUGAAAAUGCAAUCAAUUUCAUACCAUUUUCUGAGAUUGCAUGUUUUAAAGAGCACGACGAAAUAUCUAUUGGUGGCAUUACUCUACAUCCUAUAGAAUGUCAAAUUGGAGUUGAAUGCUUGUACUAGUUCAACUACAAGGCAACUGGAGAAGUAGAUGAUUUCAAAGUAAAGGAAAAAUAUGUUGAUAUUUUGAAGGAAUUUACCAUGGUUAAAGCUAAAUCAAGUACGACCAGUAUUGAAGAAAAAAAUGAUGUUAACUAAAGGUGGUACUCGUGACUUUGUUGAUGCAACAUGUUUUAGAAAAUUGGUGAAAAACCUAAGGUAUUUGACUUCUACAAGAUUUGAUGUUACUCAUAAUAUGCUCAAGUUUGAAGAUCUUGGUUUAAGGGAGGCUGUUGGAAAUUAAACCAAGAUUAAUUAUUAUUCCUAAGUAUCACACCUCCUUUUUUCCGAGGGAUUAAGGAGUUUUUCCUAUUAAAGUGACACUAAUCGAAAUGGGAUUAUUUAUUAGAUUCAGAGCCGCCACUUGAGAUAAUUUAUGGUGUCCCAAGUUACUGAUUUUAUUUUAAAUCCCAAAUUGAGGAAAUUGACUCUUAUUUAUGGUCUGCGAACGCAAAAGAUCUAGUAAGGAAUUCUGUUAACCUGGGAGAAGGUGUUAGGCAUUCUCGGGUUUCGUAGUUUUAGCACUGUCGCUUUUAAUCAUACCUGUCUUAAUUGAAUUGUUUAAUUACAUGUUUUAUAACCUAUGUGCGCUUUUUCCUUUUAACGCUCUUAAUUAUGGCACUUUAUGGAUUUAAUCUUUAAAGCAUAUUACAUGUGUGUAAAUUCGCUUUAUUUAGGGUGUUAAAAUCAUGUCACGCGAACGUGUACACAAUUAGUCACGCUUAUUAAUUUAAGAUUGUUGGCCGAAGUUGCGCAAAUGUAUACCUUAAUUUACUUUUGAAAAUCGUAAUUAUGUCACGCAAACGUGUACACAAUCACGAUGAUAGAUUAAUUUGUGCCUAAAGCAUUUUUUACGAAUAUUUAAAUCAUACUCAUGUUAUGCGAACGUGUACACAAUCACGAUAAUUUGAUUUGACCGAGAGUGAGUUUAAAGCUACAUUCGCAUUUACAAACUGUUUUCCUACAUUUUGGACUAAAUGUAAAAGCCCCAGUGCUGCAGGAAUCAUUUAUAGAUAACUCAUACGUGCUAAACUCGUGGGUUUUACGAAGUUUUGAGCAAUUGGCGAAGAUGCUAUCGAAGUACAUGAAUAGUGAGGGACUUAAUUGAAAGGAAUUCUGAUUUAAACAAGUAAUUAGCACGUUGUCAAUUUGAUCCAGUUCUGGUACAACGCUUAGUGCUGGCUGAAGAUUAAUAAUGAUUGAUAUGGGUUAAGUUGAUUAAAGCACCAAACCUGACCUCCAAUAGGUCAUAUGUGUAAAAGACUGGGUUUAAAUUAAUAAAGUAAGGCAUCAUUGGAGCCUUUUGAGAAUCAGACCACAUUAUGGCCUUUAAAACUAGUUGGGAGUCCAAAUUUUUAGGACUUUAGUCUCGUUUAAACACUUUGCUAGGCCAACCAUUUAGGCCCAAUAAACUUUAGGAAACUAAGGCUUAGUGAUACAGGAACCCGUUUCUGCCACAUAAUUUCAUUCAUUACAAAUAAAUGGAAAAUAAUUCAAAACUUAAACCAAAGCGUGGAGAAUACAUUAUUAAUUUGCUACAACAGAAAUACACCAACAAUAACAGCUAUUAACCUACUGAUUGAUUCCCAUAAUCGAUGGCUUAAGUCACUACAACUCAUUUUCAACUUGCUACAUGUAAAUCCUUAAACUUACACAAGAAAAGCAUUCGAAUUUUACAACAAACACUACACUAAGUGAAUUAAAACAUUAUGCAGUUGAGUCCAGCCCUUUUUUCUUCUUCAGGUUUUGCAAAUUUCAAGUGCAUGCCAAUUUAUAUGUCAAAUCAUGAGAUGGACACCUCUUCUGGCUUCGUUUCGACUACAAACACUCGAUCUAAAAUGAGGAAAAUAACUACAUUUUAAACUGUAGAACAAGUAACAAAUCUACUCAUGAAUAGCAUGAACAACUAUAGAAACAUGCUAGUUUUACACAUUGAAAGAGGGAGAGAGCAUUCCAGAUUCACUCAGACUCGCUAAACCAUCAUUGAAAAGCAGUUAUCGAUACAAAUGAAUGAUUAACUAUUGUGAGAAGCAUUCAUCUAUACCACAAAUAUUCAGAUCAUAAUAGGAAUUCAAUAAUAUUAUAGCACUUAACAGUCAUUUCAUUUUUCGAAGCUAAAAUCGAUACUUGGACAAAUAACGGGACAAACAAGAAAAUAAGUCGCUGAAUUUGAGAAGCACAACUAGAAAUGGGAUCAGCUUGACAAAAAUAGCAGCAAACAAACAAAAAAGGUAGCUCAACCAGAUUUGAACUCAGAACUUGGAAAACAACUGUGAGAUAAUGAAACAAACUAGGAAGCCUUUAGUUUUUUUUUUUGUUUCUGAAAUCCCGGAGUUGGUUUUUCAGAAGUUUUCUUUUCUAAAAACAUGAAAAUGAAGAACAAUGAACUCUCAGAAAUCGGUGUAAAAUCAGUAAAAAUUUGAACUUCAGAGGGUUUUUGUGUGUAAAAAUCUGUCUAUCCCCUAAAAUGAGUGUGUGAGUGAGCCUUAUACAGAGUGUGAGUGUGCUAAGGGAUAAGGAAAGGUAAAAUCCCUAAAAAUAGGGAAAAUAGCAUCUUUCUUUGACCAAUUUGUGUACAACUGUCCCUUUUUAUAAGAUAUUAUCUAUUUCAGCAUCUUUUCUUAACCAAUUGAGACAUGUGUCCCUAUUCUAGAAGCUUCUCUUAUUCUUAUCUGAAAUUCUCCCUAAUACUUUCCAAUUGGCCCCCUUAAGUUCUAUUUAUUACCCUUCUCACUCCCCAAACUUUUUUUUGUAUUGAACUUAAAAUCCCACAAUUUCAUAAACCAAACCUGCUAAAAAGGAAACUCUGUGGCAUUUAAAAUGACUACAAUGUGGAAUCAAAACAUCUACCAUUAACUAAGCGUGGGGCUACUCCAUAACAAACAGAAUUAUUACCAUCCCUUAAUCAUGCUAAUUAAUUAGCUUUAAACACAUACCUAGGUGAUUAAAGAAAUAGGAAUUGAUGAGUUUUCAAUUCUUAGCUCUAUGUUUUGAUGAUAUAACAAACUUAUUGUCAAGAACUAGAUAGGGAACCUGACACACUUGGUAACAUUGCUAAUCAACAAACUCUAGCUAAUGUGAACUGCUGCAACUGUAGAAGAUAUAGAACCAACAUAGAGACUUGAUCCCUUGUGUUUCCCUAACAGUAGUACGAAAGUCAAUUGUGUACAACUGAAAAGUGACUGCCACAGAAAAAGUGCACAUAGUGCAGCACCGUUCUGCAGUCACUUGUCCUUUGACCAACCAAGUGCUUACAUCAUUCAAGUGAUGUCAUCAAAGGUGUAUUGACAAGAGCAUUACAAUAAAACAUCACUUGAACACUUGAGAAUUCACAUCAUGCAUUCAAGCCUUCUGAGAUUCGUGUAUUCAAUUCUCAAGUACAUCAAGAACAAAGUUUAACACUACUACAGACCAUUUCCUAAAUCUAGUAUUUUAUUGUCCUUAGUUGAGUUGUAACUUUGUAAUAGUUCUUCAUUAUAAUUCCUAAUUUGUUUAGCUAGAAGCGUUGCUUAGGAACCCCUUUGUAAAACCAUAAACCCUUUGUGUUUGUGUCGUGACUAGAGUUAGACAUGAGUUGAAGUCUUUGUAAUAGGUGUAUUGCAAAGUGGCUUAUAAUAGGUGCAUUACGAGUUAGUAAGGGAUUAAGAGUUUAAUUCCUAGAUUGCAUAGGUUGGAAUCUAAAAGUUUCUCAUAGUGAAGUUGAAAUCCUACCAGUGUAGGUCGUGAUUUUUUUAUCCCCUUGAGCAGGGAUUUUUCCACGUAAAACUCCCAAUCUUAUUUACUUACUGUUUCAUUAAUGUUCUUAGUAGAAACUCAUAGAGGACCUGAUACUCUAUAGUUUGGUGGACUCACAUAAACUAUCAAGAAUGCAAAAACUAUAAAGAACUAUACUAUUCCGAUUAAUCCUAAAUCAAACAAAACAGAGAUACUAAGAAAAGAAAAGGUUCAGAACAGACAACAAUAGAAAGAAAACAUAAAGAAAUAAAAAAUAACAAAUAAAAAUAAAAACAAAACAAAGUGAAGGAAUGAUAGAUUGAUACUAUUGAAAAUGAACUAAUUUGAACAAUUACAUACGAAUUAACCUAAACUACUAACAUAUUAAUAUAGGGAAGAGAUACCUAAGUGCUCCAACGGAUUGUGAGAAGAAAAAGAAUUUCCGGCAAGCUAGAGAAAUUGCCACACUCAUACUGGCCGGAUUUCUCCAUGCGAGAAAGUGUUGGUAUGCGGCAAAUAUCUCCUAUUGUCCCGAUAAAAGAAGCGAGCCAAGGUGGGGAUGAACUAUGCGAUCCCGAGGAGCUUGACCAAGGUUUUGUGGCCAUGAAAUCAGCAAAAUCGUGCAAUUCUCAAUAAAAGUCGACUGGUGUAGGUUUCGAUCCCAAAUGAGCCAAAAUAAGGACAAAUCAAACAAAAGGAAAACUUUAGGGUUUAUGCGAUUUCUAGAUUUGGAAUUCAUGGAGUUUGGGCGAUUUUUUGGGAAAAUUAUUGAGGGAUUUGGACUAAGGGGAGGAUGGAGGUUGUAGGGUGUGAUUUUGGGGCUAUUUGGCAACGUGUCACCGCCGUGGGCGAUUUCCGGCAGCGGUUUAAGGCUAAGGGUGGGAGAGGGAGGCGAAGGGAUCUGGGCUGGUCUUUAGGGUUUGAAGGUAGCUGGGUUCAGAUACUAAUAACGGAUGAACGGUUAGUUCUCAACCGUUAGAUCAUAAUUGAUAAACGGAUGAGGUCGCUUGAGUGUACUGGUGGAGCUAGACCAGGUAGGAGGUUGGGCUAGGGCGAUUUUUGGUGAUUUGGGCUAUUGAAAUUAUUUUUUAGGCCCAAACUCUGAUGAAGACCUUAAUUCCUUUCCUUUUUUUCUUCUUUCCUUUUUCCUUGCUUUAAAAUCAUACUCAAAUUAAUAAAACCUAAAUUAAAUCCUAUUUUAUAUCUAAUUUGUAGAAUUUGAUUUAAUAAUCUAUUUCUACAUUAAAAUAAUUAAUUAAAUUAAACUAAUGAAAGGAAAUUACUCAUUUUAAAACUAAAAGCAAAAUAUGUAAAAAUGACCAUUAUUUUUGUGAUGUUUGUUUGAUAAUGCAAUUAACUCAUGUAAUUAAAUCUUAAAUGCAAUUGAGAUCUAAAAUGCUCUUCAUGAAAUAUUUUAGACAUUUUGGUAUUUUUCUUAUAAUUUUAAAACGUUAAAUAUGCAACUAAAUGCAAACAAUAAUUUGCAAAAAAAUCCUAAAAAUUCUAUAAAAAUUAAAAAUAAUUAGAAAAUCCUAUUUUUGUGAAUUUGUACGAGUAUUUUUAGUCAGGAAAAAAUCACGUACUCACAGCUACCCCUCUUUGCUCGGAAACACGAAGAGUUUUCUGCAAAGUUAAAGUGAGCAAAUACGAGCAAUUUUUGCCCGUUUGGAUACUCCACGUGAAGCGUUUUGCAAAAGUUUAACCGAACCUUGCUUCGGAGGUUUCCUACAUAUCCUUGGUUAUAAAGGAAUCAGGUCAUUGUAGUUCUGGAAGUUUUGGUAGUUAGGAUUACCGAGAAACUGUGAUUUCAUUGCUGUUGUCGAUGCUUCUGCUUGCUGAACUCCUUAUUACACCAAAAUCAAAAUGAAAAGAAACUAAGAAAGUCUAUCAGCUAUGAGUUACAACAUUCCUAUCUAUAGGUCUUUAGAAACUUGAUCUUGAUACUUUUACAGUUCUGUUAUACAUCUCGAUCUAUCGAUUCACAUUUUUGAGGCGAGCUUCUGCUAACUCUAACAUAAAUUGACCCUAUUCUUCAGGGGGAUCUUGUUGUUGUCUUGAACUUUAAGCUUAACUCUAAAAUGAAUUCACUCGUUCUUCAGGUGGGAGUCUGCCAACAACUUGAACUUGAAAUAAAUUCCCUCAUUCUCCAGGUGGGCAUCUGCCACUGAUUUAAAACUUGAAAUGAAUUCUCUCGUUCUCCAGGUGGGCGCCUACCGCAGACUUAAAAUUUGAAAUGAAUUCCCUUGUUCUCCAGGUGGGCGCCUGCCACUGACUUAAAACUUGAAAUGAAUUCCCUCAUUCUCCACGUGGGUGCCUGGCACUGACUUAAAACUUGAAAUGAAUUCCCUCAUUCUCCAGGUGAGUGCCUUCCACUGACUUAAAACUUGAAGUGAAUUCCCUCAUUCUCCAGGUGAGUGCCUUCCACUGACUUAAAACUUGAAGUGAAUUCCCUCGUUCUCCAGGUGGGCGCCUUCCGCUGACUUAAAACUUGAAAUAAAUUUCCUCGUUCUCUAGGUGGGCGCCUGCCGCUGACUUAAAAUUUGAAAUGAAUUCCCUCGUUCUCCAGGUGGGCGCCUGCCAAUAACUUAAACUCGAAAUGAUUCGCUCGUUCUCCAGGUGGGCGCCUGCCAAUGACUUGAAUUUAAAAUAGAUUCCCUCAUUCUCCAGGUGGGCGCCUGCCAAUAACUUGAACUUGAAAUAAAUUCCCUCAUUCUCCAGGUGGCUGCCUGCCAUUGACUUGAAUUUGAAAUGAGAUUACCUCGUUCUCCAAGUAGGCGCCUAUUACUAAUUUAAAACUGGAAAUGGAUCCCCUCGUUCUCCAGGUGGGAGCCUGCCAAUAACUUAAACUUGAAAUGAAUUCCCUCGUUCUCCAGGUGGGCUCCUGUAAACACAACAAAACAGACAAACAAUGAAAAUUUUCUGCCCCAGUUUGUACCAGGAACAUUUGAGAGUGUUAAAGAAUUCAAUUAUCCAGGAGGGUCCUAAAAAUUUAAAACUAGAUCCCAUUAUCCAGGAGGGUCCUGAAAGCUAUAUUUUAUUAUCCAGGGAGGUGCUGUAAACUUAAAACUAAAUCCCAUUAUCCAAGAGGGUCCUGAAAACUUGAUAUUAAAUCCCAUAAUCCAGGAAGACCCUAAAAGCUUAAAACUGAACUUAUCUGAAGCAUGCUUUACUCCUGGAGGAUUCCUGCAAAGCAAAUAAAAUUUCUUGCCCCUGUUUCAAAUAAAAGAAAAUCUUGUCACUUUGAAAAUGUGGUGGUUAGUUUGUGGCAUCUUUGCUGAAGUGUCUGCUUUUGCCAUUGCCAUGCUUCAUUCUGAUUAGCUCCUUCGGGCUAGCAAAGAAUUGUUUGACCUUCUGACUGAACCUCGACCACAAAACCUCUGAAUCCGAAUCCCUUACACUCAACUUGUUGUAUGACAUUUCUAUUCGGACAAUUGUUGAACCUUUGCAUUUCCUCAAAAUUCACGAAGGCACUUGACCUCCUGAACUUCAAUUAACACCUUAUUGCUCAUUAUGAAUCAUGCCACUUGUGAUGUGCUUUGGGCGAAUUUCACUUUGUGCAAUUAAAAAGUUGGUAAUAGGCUUUAAAAUCCUUUCUUGCUUAUUUAACAAGACUAACUUGAAAGAGACUUGGAAGAAAAAUAGACCCAAAAGAAGCAAAGUGAAGUGACUUCGAAAAUUGGGAAUAAAAGGAAAAUUUCGAACAAAAAUGACUAUUUAAAGAAGAAUGGAAAAGAGACUUAUCUGAGUGAAGCAGCUGAUUCCAAUGAUCAUGACAUGCAUUUCAGAUUGAUCAUCCCAGUCCAUCCAAUUAAUCACAUUUCAGUUCAUGCCAUGUCUUCAUACUUCAAAAAUAGGGAUUUCCAUAAACCAAUUUCUCAAUAAAGUCACGAACCUCAUUCGGCUUGUAGCACCCCGAAGGGUUUUCACCAGCAAACCUCUCUUAUUUGUUCAUCUCUCAGCUCACCGUUGCCUUACGAUGCCCGCGAGGAUUUUCACCAAUAAGACUCUCUCAUUUUAAAUUUCUCUUAUCUCUCCAUCGCCUUACGAUGCCCAUGAGAGUUUUCACCAAUAAAACUCUCUCAUUUUGUUCAUCUUUCCUUGUCCCCAUGAACAAAGUGUUACCCAUGAUGUGAAUCAUACAUCUAUCUCGCUUGACUUGGAAUUCCUCAAAAAAUAAUCGGAAGGUCUUUCUUUGGACCGUAGUGUAGGCUUUUGGACAUGGUUAGAAAGAAAGGGCGGCAUGCAAGCUCAAAUUAGCUUAAAAUGAAAGGGUUCAAAAUUACAACUUUUGGAAUCAGAUCUUUCACAAAACCAAAACUUCUGCCCCAGUUUCUUUGGAUCUAGGGACUUUUGGAUUUUUAUUUUGAGGGGGCCGAACCGUGUAAGGCUGCCUACGUAUCCUUAAAAAGAACCAGGUUGAACAUAGUUCAAGCUAAUAAAAGUUGUUUUGUUUUUGUUACUUUUUCUUUUGCUUUUCUUUUUUUUCUUCUUUUUCUUUUCUCUUUUCUUUCUUUUGUUUUUCUCUUUUUCUUCUUAUUUUUCUUUUCUUUUUCUCUUUUCUUUUUUUUUCUUUUCUAUUUCUAAACUCUACUUCUGAUUCCAAAAUAGGGGUAUGAAAGAAAAUAAAUAAGGCUCAAAGGGGUAACAAAGGAUAAAAGUAUUUGGAUAGCAGAAUAAAAUGCCUUCGUCAUUCCAAUCUUUGAAAUAUGCCAAAUACAAAUAACGCAAUUGAAGACAAACAAGGAAAUCAUACAUAAGAUCUCUUGACUACAUCAGAAUUGAUAGCCAUAUCUACAUAUUUGCCUUCUAUAUCUAUUAAAUACAAAGAAACAUUGGCCAACACUCUUGUCACAAUGAACGACCCCUGCCAGUUUGGGGCGAACUUGCCUUUAGCUUCAUUCUGAUAUGGAAGGAUGCGUUUCAAUACCAGCCAGCCCACUUCAAAUUCUCGAGGACGCACCUUCUUGUUGUAUGCUCUUGACAUUCUCUUCUGAUACAGUUGACCAUGACAUACUGCUGCUAAUCUUUUCUCAUCAAUUAGACUCAACUACUCCAGCCGAUUUUUAACCCACUCAUCAUCAUCAAUUUCAGCUUUCGCAACAAUCCGAAGGGACAAAAUCUCAACUUCCGUAGGUAUGACUGCCUCAGUUCCAUAUACCAACAAAUAAGGAGUUGCACCUACUGAAGUGUGAAAAAUAGUGCGGUAACCCAGUAAAGCAAAAGGCAACUUUUCAUGCCAUUGCCUAGAACCUUGCACCAUCUUUCGAAGUAUCUUCUUUAUGUUCUUGUUAGCAGCCUCAACAGCUCUGUUUGCCUUGGGAUGAUACAAAGUAGAAUUUUGAUGCAUAAUCUUGAACUGUAGGCAUACCGCUUUCGUCAAAUGACAGUCAAGAUUAGUAGCAUUGUCUGUGAUGAUUACUUUGGGAAUUCCGAAUUGCCAAAUGAUAUAUGAAUGAACAAAAUCUACCAUUGCCUUCUUGGUUAUAGAUUUGAAAGUUACAGCCUCGACCCACUUAGUAAAGUAAUCAAUGGCCACCAGAAUAAACCUGUGUCCGUUUGAUGUCACCGGCUCAAUUGGUACAAUGACAUCCAUGCCCCAAGCAACAAAGAGCCAAGAUGCUGAUAGUGUGUGCAACUCAGAUGGCGAAGCAUGAAUCAAAUCACCAUGCACCUGGCAUUGAUGACACUUGCGAACAAAGCUGAUGCAAUCUUGUUCCAUGGUGAGCCAAUAAUAACCUGCUCGAAGAAUCUUCUUUGUCAAGACAUACCCGCUCAUAUGCGGCCCGCAAACUCCGGAAUGUACUUCGACCAUGAUAAUCAUAGCUUUUUUAGCAUCUAUGCACCUUAUUAGUCCUAGAUCUGGAGUCCUCUUGUAAAAGAUUCCCCCACUCAAGAAAACUCCACUAGCCAGACGUCGAAUGGUUCUCUUUUGAUCACUUGUGGCAUUUACCGGAUAUACCCCCGACUUGAUGUAUUCCUUGAUAUCAUAGAACCAAGGUUCACCAUCAAGUUCCUCUUCAACCAUAUUACAAUAAGCAUGUUGAUCACGAACAUGAAUAUUUAGAGGGUCGACGCAAGUCUUAUCUGGAUGGUGCCACAUUGAUGCUAGAGUAGCUAGGGCGUCGACAACCUCAUUAUGAAUCUGGGGAAUAUGCCUAAAUUCUACUGACCUGAAUCGGUGACAAAGACAUGCAAACAUUGUCGAUACGGUAUGAGCUUCAAAUAUCGAGUCUCCUAUUCUCCCUGAAUCCGGUGAACCAACAAAUUUGAAUCUCCCAAAACAAAUAUUUCCUAAACUCCCAUGUCUAUAGCUAGCCUCAAACCCAGAAUGCAUGCCUCGUACUCAACCAUGUUGUUGGUGCAAUAAAAUCGAAGUUGAGCUGUUACGAGGUAGUGAUACCCUAUUUCAUAAAUGAGUACAAUGCCUGUCACGCCCCCUUUUUCCCUCUGCGAAGAGGAGUCUGGGUUUCGACAUUCAUUGGGGUAAUAACUCAUUUCCUUUUGGAAAUUGGGUAUUUUGAAGAGUCGCCACCUAACGGAUUAUGUUGCGUUAGGGCACCCACAACGGUUAACUCUUGGAUUGGUUUGCAUUACCAGAGAUUUAGGGUAAGGGCUCAAAAUAACAUUGAGGGGAAUGUGUUAGGCACCCCUCUCGAUCCACAACUGUGGGUCCCAGCCGAACUUAUACUUGUGAAUUUAUCCUUUAAAAAAUAAGUUGUUGAAACAAAUAAUUGUAAAUAGAGCAUGUUGGACAUUAUAUGACUCAAAUAAUAAGAUAAGGGAUUUGAGAAAGUUGUAUACAUAAAGGAAAGUUUUAAACAUAAGGAAUUAGGGAAAGAAGGGGUCCUAGGUUGGUUAGCAUAUAGGAUCACCCCACACAAUGUCCAGUAAACACUCCUCAAUGAAGGGCUAAACGUGACAUUAGCGUGUAGUCAUCAUAUUCAUAUCUACCCAUUCCCCACCCCUUAGUGGUAACUAAAGCGAGUGUUGGUUAGCGAUCUCUAUUGUGUACUGUUACCCGUCCCUUCUUAAUGGUACCUAUAGGUAGUUCUAGACCUACCCCUAAGGUUUAAAGGAAAAAUAUUAAGGUUACAAGAAAUAACACAUAGGACUCUUAGUAAAUAAGAACAUGAAGGAGCAAAUAAGAGGCUCAAUUUACCUCCACAGAUAAGGCAUGUAAACAACACGACUCAAACACAGAUAAGGGCAAUAGUAUCCUAAGACAUGACGUCUAGGUGAGUAUCAGAACACAGUAGAUAUGCAGGUUUAUUUUAUAACUCAGAAGCAGGGCCCUAAUCAGUUUGCCUACUGAUUUAAAGCAUGUUAAUCAUUAAGCAGUACACACAAAGGACAGUUUCCAGUUUUAUAAGAAAUUGGAUUACCUAAGGCUUGCCUAGGCGUAGGAUAAUGCACAAUUGUUACCAUAACCAUUAGAACAAUGAAGGAGUUAUUUUACCUAAAAGCAUACUAUCUAAGUGUUAUAAAAUAUAGGGAUUAUUACCAGUUUAUUUUAAACAGGAUAAUCAAAUGCGAAGCUAUUUUUACAUCUUCCAUAAUCAGUAGUUUACACUAGGUGUGACCGAGCAAGUACGAAUGAGAUCCUAAAGCAUGAUAUCUAAGAUGUAUGUAUAAAGUUCAUAAUGGUUUAUAUGCAGAAUUCCUAAAGCAAGAUUUCUAAAUGCACAGCUGGUUAGAGCAUGAUUUCAAAACGCAUAGGGGACAAUUUAUCUUUAAUGUCGUUUAUCCUAGAAAUAGGAUUUCUAAGUGAUAAUAGAGAUGUCAAAAUGAGAUGCUGAAAGCAGUAGACAUGGAUCCUAAGAGCAUGGUUUCUAAUACAUGAUAUGCUUUGCAUAUAUUGGUCCUAGUUCUAAUGCAGAUACAGGAGAAUAUAAACCUAAAGCAUGUUUUCUACCCAUUGAUAUUGAUAACAUGUAUAACUACGCUCCCAUUUUCACUAUCCAACCCCCAUGUUCGUUUACAAAUUAUUACAUGCCAAUAUCGAAUGAAUUACAUAAGUAGAUAAGAAAAAUAAGAAGUUACUCUAUAGGGAGCCUACCAAUAGGCCCAAAUUUCCAAAAUUUCCAAUGCCAGAUUACCUCACAACCUUUCACAUAAUCCAGCUGUGUUAGAGUUCCCUAAGGACCUCAAGGGAUCCCGGGCUGUGCUCACACCCAUAUUUCAUAAUCAUAGCUGAGUAAGUGCAGUGUGGAAGGGCCAACUCUAAUGUAUCAGAGUUCAGAGGGAUCUCAUAGGGAUCCCUAAGCAAUCACACAUUAGAGGGGAAGAACUUAAAACCUAAGAGUAGAUUUGAGAGUGCUUGAAAAGAUUUAAGCAGGGAAACAGUUUGAAAAGGGACUCGUUUGAAAUAGUUUUGUAAAAGACAAUAGAGAUAAUUUUGAAAAGAGAGUGGAGUAGUAAACAACAGUCCAAACACAGCACCCCCAAAACAGGUUCAUACACAGCCAGAGAUCAUAGAACCAAGGCAGAUUCAGCAACCACAAACAGGGGUGUCAAGGGAUUUGGGGACACAUAGGUCAUGUAGUUAAACACAUAGUUACAAGAGCAUAGCAAUCGUUGUGAGGGUUUAUAGGAUUAGGGGAUAGCUAGUGCUAUCAACACAAUAUGGAUUAUAGAAACAAUCAUAGAAUGAGACAUCUAAAGUGACAAAUCAAUUUGCAAAGUAAGUGCAUAUCAAAACUGGACAACAAGUAGACAAGUAUUCAAAGCAGGAUAGAGUCAUAUUGAAACAGACUACCAGGGGAGUAGAACUAUCAUGCUAAAUGAAGCCAUAAUGUGAACAUGUCAAUUACACAUUGAACAACCGAACCAUAGAUAGAAACAAAUCAAAAACAUGAUAAGCUGAAGCAGUAAAUGAAACAUAUUGGUUUUGGAACUUGAAUUGAAAUUAGGACAUACUAGAAAAGAGACAAUAAACACAAAGUGAAGAAUAAGAGAGCAUAAUAGUUAGCCUUGGCUUGUUGCCGACUAACUUAGAAUAGUAGUAAGUAAUCACAGAAAGAGAGCAGAGAGUUUUGAGUAUGUGAGAGAGUGUUUUGAACCACUGUGUUCGUGUGUUGUGUUAAUAAAAGAAUAGGGUACUUAUAGUUUGAAAACAAGUAGAAAAUAAGGCAAAAAUCAUAGUUCAGCAAUAAUUAUAGAACUAUGUACUAAUUAGAAUCAAAUCAAUGUAAGUACUUCCCCUUAAUUAAGGAGUUAAAUAACAAAUAAGGAAAGAAAUCAAUGUACGACCAAUAAGGACAAACUUCAAAUACAGUAGGUAUAAGGUAAACAAUUAGGGCUAGGUUCAUAAGGUUCUAAUUAAUAGCAUAAGAAUCAAUUAACAACAUAGUCAAUCACGUAAUAAGGCAAGAAAAUAUUUAAAGAUUGAAAUCAACAGGGAAUAAAGUAUACCAAUCACAGGGAAUCAGGGAUUCUAUUAGAAGGUAACAUUGACCAAAGUAAAGUAUCACAACUGAAGGAAGCAAACAUGACACAAAUAAGCAUAGGUAAAAGAAUCACAUGAAUCCUGGGUUCAAAGGAAAGGAUGGUACUGAUGAGAGGAAAUAACCACAAAUUUUCCUGGAAUAAACACAUAGUAGGCAGGAAUAGUCGAAGUCAAAAACCGAACAAGAAAACAUAGGUUAAAGAUCUCAGAAUCACGGAAUGUUAAUGAGAAACAUACAGAUUAGUUGAACAUAUUACCAAAAAACAAACUCAGAAACCUAAGAUUAAAACUAAGAAAUUAUUUCAACAUAAUGAAUCAGAUAUAAGAAAAACUUAAAUAAAUCGUUUAAACAUAGUAAAAAAUCAUAGAAUAAUACUAAAAAUCAGAGGAAAAGUCAUUUUAAAAAAAAGGGGUUAAUAAACCCUAGUUUUGAAGACGACGAGGUGUUUUGAAAAAUUGGAGAGUUUAUCAUGGAAAACAGCAAGAAUAACUCAAAAUAUACUCAGAUCUAUGGUAGAUCCGAAGAGUCAAGAGAUGAGUUAGGGUUUUAGAGAGAUAUAACCCAGAGAUGGAGAGAUUCUGACUUAGAAGCCGUAGAUCUAGCCGAAAAAUAGAAAGAUCUUACUCAGACAGGCCAAGGUAGUCUGAGAACGGUGAGCACGGACCAUAUAUGUGAGUUGAACAAACACCGGUCCCUUGAUGACCUUCGAGAUGACAAGAAUCAGGCGUGGGGGGGGGGGGGGGACCGAUGGAGGCUAGGGGUGCUGGUGGAACCACCAUUGAUACCAGCGAGCUAAUGGCCGGCGAGUGGGAGCCGUGGUUAUGCAGAGAGCUUGAAAGAGAAUGAGAGAGUGUAAUGGUGGAGUGAAUGGAGGAAAAUGAGGGUUUGGGGGGUAGUCUAUUAGGUUAAAUUAGGAAGGAAUUACCCUGGACCGUUGAUAAAAAAUGAUCAAUGGCCAGGAUCUGGGCGGACUUGGGUCGGGUAGAAUUUAUGUUUGGGCCUGGGGUAUUGGGCUGAUUUAAUUGGGUUAAAAUUGAAAUAAAAUCUAUUUGUUAAAUACCCAAUUAAAUUAAAUAAAAUAAUUUAUAAAAAUAGCUGAUAAUUGUACAAAAUGAAUUUUAUGCAUAGAAAAUAGUUUAAAAGAUUACUUGGUAUUCAAAAAUAUAAAUGAUUAAUUUCCGGUCAAAAAUAGUAUAAAAUCAUAUGAUUGGGCUAUAAUUGUAAAGUUAUUGCAAUUAUAGCCAAAAGAUGCCAAUUUGGCCAAUUAUGAAAUAAUUUGAUUCAAAUAAGACCAUAAAUAAUAAGUUAAAUCAAGAGAUGCUUCUAAAAUCAUUUAUAAUGCCAUUUUGCAAUUAUUUAUUUGAAACAAAAUGCUGGAUAAAUUAAUAAAAAUAUACAGAAAAUUGUGGAAAAAUACCAAUUGCUAUUAAUGCAUGAUGUUAAAGGUAUAUAUGCAAUUUUAAAAUAUUUUGGGGAAAAAUUGGGUAUCAACAGUUGCCCCUCUUUACCUGGGAAGGAUGAAAGAGUUUUCGGGUAAAAAAAUGAUGGCCAAUUUUGACCGAACGAAACAGUUUGAGAGAUUAGGCCGCACUCCGGCUUCUGAGCUGCCUACAUAUCCCUGGUAUUAUAGGAGUCAGGCCAUGCGUAGUUUCGGAUUCGUCGGCGAAGUGUACUGAUAAAGUCAUUUCAAGAACGGACGCAACAUCUAAGGUUAGGUGAGUGAACAAUUUAUGGGAAUGUUAGGUUUGAUAUGGCUGAGAGAACUAGAGCGGGAUCGCUCCUGUUGGGAUAGCCGUUGCUUGCCGGGUUACCUGCAAAUAGAAGCAAUACAAACGUAUACUAUGCAUAAAUUUAAAUAUGAUGCAGGUUCCCGUUGGACUAUGAAAGUUGUCUUCAGAUGGUUAGGGAUGUCGUCCUUAGACCAUGAUGUCAUGGUCCAUGAAUUGUUUGAUGAGUGAUUCGCAGGCCAUGAAAUGAUGUUCCCGGGCCAUAAAAAUGGUGCCUCCGAACCAUGACGCCUUUGAAGAAUGAUAUGCAAAUUUGAGAUAUCCUCAGGCCAUGGCAUGGUUUCUUCUGGCUAUGAGGAUGAUGCCUUUAGACUAUGACGCCUUUGGAUAGUUUGGCGAUAUUUCAUCCCAUGAUAUGCAAUGAUAUGAUAUUGACAAGACAAAGCUUAGUCUUGCGAAAUGGAGGGCAGACCUUAGCCCAAUUGGAAAGCAAAUAGAUAGUGCUAGAAAUAGAGCAAUAUUUGUGCCAAGGGGGACGGUGCUUAGUCCCAUGCGAAUGGGGAAGCAGGGAUUAGCCUCAUGUAGUUAUGGAGGCAAGGAUUAGCCUCAUGCAAGUAUGGAGGCAAGGAUUAGCCUCAUGCAAAUAUGGAGGCAGAGAUUAGCCUCAUGCAGGUAUGCAGGCAGGGAUUAGCCUCAUGCAGGUAUGGAGGCAAGGAUUAGACUCAUGUAAGUAUGGAGUCAAGGAUUAGCCUCAUGCAAAUAGGGAGUCAAGGAUUAGACUCAUGCAAGUAUGGAGACAGGGAUUAGCCUUAUGUAGGAUGGAGGCAAGGACUAGCCUCAUGCAGGAUGGAGUCAAGGAUCAGACUCAUGCAAAUAGGGGGGCAGGGAUUAGCCUCAUGCAGGUAUGAAGUCAAGGAUUGGACUCAUGAAAAUAGGGAGGCUAGGAUUAGCCUCAUGCAAAUAUGGAGGCAAGGAUUAGCCUUAUGCAGGUAUGGAGGCAGGGAUUAGCCUCAUGCAGGUAUGGAGGCAGGGAUUGGCCUCAUGCAGGUAUGGAGGCAAGGAUUAGCCUUAUGCAAGUAGGGAGGCAAGGAUUAGCCUCAUUCAAGUAUGGAGGCAGGGAUAGCCUCAUGCAGGUAUGGAGGCAGGGAUUAGCCUCAUGCAGGAUAGAGUCAGGGAUUAGACUCAUGCAAAUAGGGGGGGCAGGGAUUAGCCUCAUAUAGGUAUGGAGUCAAGGAUUAGNNNNNNNNNNNNNNNNNNNNNNNNNNNNNNNNNNNNNNNNNNNNNNNNNNNNNNNNNNNNNNNNNNNNNNNNNNNNNNNNNNNNNNNNNNNNNNNNNNNNNNNNNNNNNNNNNNNNNNNNNNNNNNNNNNNNNNNNNNNNNNNNNNNNNNNNNNNNNNNNNNNNNNNNNNNNNNNNNNNNNNNNNNNNNNNNNNNNNNNNNNNNNNNNNNNNNNNNNNNNNNNNNNNNNNNNNNNNNNNNNNNNNNNNNNNNNNNNNNNNNNNNNNNNNNNNNNNNNNNNNNNNNNNNNNNNNNNNNNNNNNNNNNNNNNNNNNNNNNNNNNNNNNNNNNNNNNNNNNNNNNNNNNNNNNNNNNNNNNNNNNNNNNNNNNNNNNNNNNNNNNNNNNNNNNNNNNNNNNNNNNNNNNNNNNNNNNNNNNNNNNNNNNNNNNNNNNNNNNNNNNNNNNNNNNNNNNNNNNNNNNNNNNNNNNNNNNNNNNNNNNNNNNNNNNNNNNNNNNNNNNNNNNNNNNNNNNNNNNNNNNNNNNNNNNNNNNNNNNNNNNNNNNNNNNNNNNNNNNNNNNNNNNNNNNNNNNNNNNNNNNNNNNNNNNNNNNNNNNNNNNNNNNNNNNNNNNNNNNNNNNNNNNNNNNNNNNNNNNNNNNNNNNNNNNNNNNNNNNNNNNNNNNNNNNNNNNNNNNNNNNNNNNNNNNNNNNNNNNNNNNNNNNNNNNNNNNNNNNNNNNNNNNNNNNNNNNNNNNNNNNNNNNNNNNNNNNNNNNNNNNNNNNNNNNNNNNNNNNNNNNNNNNNNNNNNNNNNNNNNNNNNNNNNNNNNNNNNNNNNNNNNNNNNNNNNNNNNNNNNNNNNNNNNNNNNNNNNNNNNNNNNNNNNNNNNNNNNNNNNNNNNNNNNNNNNNNNNNNNNNNNNNNNNNNNNNNNNNNNNNNNNNNNNNNNNNNNNNNNNNNNNNNNNNNNNNNNNNNNNNNNNNNNNNNNNNNNNNNNNNNNNNNNNNNNNNNNNNNNNNNNNNNNNNNNNNNNNNNNNNNNNNNNNNNNNNNNNNNNNNNNNNNNNNNNNNNNNNNNNNNNNNNNNNNNNNNNNNNNNNNNNNNNNNNNNNNNNNNNNNNNNNNNNNNNNNNNNNNNNNNNNNNNNNNNNNNNNNNNNNNNNNNNNNNNNNNNNNNNNNNNNNNNNNNNNNNNNNNNNNNNNNNNNNNNNNNNNNNNNNNNNNNNNNNNNNNNNNNNNNNNNNNNNNNNNNNNNNNNNNNNNNNNNNNNNNNNNNNNNNNNNNNNNNNNNNNNNNNNNNNNNNNNNNNNNNNNNNNNNNNNNNNNNNNNNNNNNNNNNNNNNNNNNNNNNNNNNNNNNNNNNNNNNNNNNNNNNNNNNNNNNNNNNNNNNNNNNNNNNNGGGAAUCCGAUCAAGCGUAGUUCAAUUACAUUAGAAAAGAAAUGUAAAAUAAUCUGGGCAUAGUAUCUCUUGACUGUGUCUAAACUAAUCGGUUUUGGCCAGACUUCUCCAUCCAUUUCUGCAAGUAUGAGUGCUCCUCCUGUUAGUGCCAUGUGAACCAUGUACGGACCUUGCCAGUUGAGAGAGAAUUUCCCUUUGGCUUCAUCUUGAUGCGGGAAGAUUUUCUUCAAUACCAACUACCCUGGUGCGAACUGUCUUGGUUUGAAUCUUUUGUUGAAAGCUCUAGACAUUCUGUUCUGGUAAAGUUGUCCAUGACAUACUAUGUUCAUCCUCUUUCCAUCAAUAAGGGUCAAUUGAUCGUAGCGACUUCUUAUCCACUCUGCAUCGCUGAGUUCAGCUUCCUAUAUGAUACUUAAAGAAGAAAUCUCCACCUCGGCUAGGAUGACAGCCUUGGUACCACAAACCAGCAUGUAGGAAGUUGCCCUAGUUGAUGUGCAGACCGUGGUGCGGUACCCCAAUAGAGCAAAUGGUAACUUCUCAUGCCAUUGUUUGUGGUUGUCUACCAUUUUCCUUAGUAUCUUCUUAGUGUUUUUGUUGGCGGCUUCUACGGCUCCAUUCAUUUGAGGUCUGUAGGCUGUGGAAUUCUUGUGCUUGAUUUUGAAAGUUUCACACAUGGCCUUCAUCAAAUCACUAUUGAGAUUGGCGGCGUUAUCAGUAAUAAUGGACUCGGGAACUCCUAAUCGGCAAAUAAUUCAAUCCUUGACAAAAUAUGCGACGAUUUUCUUGGUUAUGGCUUUUUAAGAUGUAGCCUCUACCCAUUUUGUGAAGUAAUCAAUGGCUGCCAGAAUAAACAUGUGUCCAUUUGAAGCAGUGGGCUAAAUUGGAUCAAUAACAUUCAUUCCCCAAGCGGCGAAUGGCCAAGGUGAGCUCGUUGCAUUGAGCUCAUUUGGCAGCACUUUAUCAUAUCGGCAUGCACUUGACAUUGAAAGUAUUUGCGGACAUACUUAAUAUAAUCCAUCUCCAUGGUCAUCCAAAAGUAACCUGCCCUGAGUAUUUUCUUAGCCAAGACAAAACCAUUCAUGUGUGGGCCACAUGUCCCAGCAUGCACAUCUUCAAGUAGCUUAGAAGCUUCCUUUGUGUCAACACAUCUUAGUAAACCCAAAUCAAGAGUUUUUCUAUACAAGUUCCCUCUGCUAUGGAAGAAGUGAUUAGACAAUCUCCGGAGUGUGCGUUCUGAGUGUGAUUUGCAUGCUUCGGGUAUUCCCCUUUUAAUAAGUACUUUUUGAUGUCAUGAAACCAAGGCUUUCCAUCUGCUUCUUCCUCGAUAUGAGCACAAUAUGCCGGAUGAUUAUGGAUCUUCACCGGAAUGGGGUCAAUGUAAUUCUUAUCUGGAUGUUGUAUCAUAGAUGACAAGGUGGCCAAUGCAUCGGCAAACUCAUUCUGAAUUCUGGGCACAUAUCUAAAUUCUAUCUUCAUGAACCUUUUUAUCAAUUCCUGCACAUGAUGCAAAUAUGGAAAUAUCUUGGAAUUCUUGGCGGCCCACUCUCCUUGUACCUGGUGCACAAGACAAUCUGAGUCACCGAUCACUAGCAACUCCUGAAUGUUCAUGUCGACUGCCAUAUUGAGUCCUAGUAUGUAGGCUUCAUACUCUGCCAUGUUGUUGAUGUAGGGAAAUUUGAGUUUAGCAGAUACCGGAUAAUGCUGACCCGUUUCUGAUACCAAAACUGCUCCAAUGCCUUCUCCUUUAAAAUUAGCGGCUCUAUCAGAGAACAUCCUCCAACCAUCAUAUGCUUCGGUAAUAUCUUCCCCUACAAAUGACACUUCUUUAUCAGGAAAAUAUGUCUUUAAAGGUUUGUAUGCUCCUCCCACCGGAUUUUCAGCGAGGUGAUCUAACAAUGCUUGUCCUUUGACCGCCUUUUGAGUUAUGUAGACGAUAUCGAACUCACUUAGUAAUAUUUGCCAUUUAGCCAACUUCCCAGUCGGCAUGGGUUUAUAAAAUAUGUACUUAAAAGGGUCCAUCCUAGAUACAAGGCAUAUUGUAUAGGCACAGAAGUAAUGGCUUGACUUCUGGGCCGUCCAGGUCAAAGCACAGAAAGUGCGUUCAAGUAGAGAAUACUGUGCUUUAUAAGGUGUGAACUUCUUACUCAAGUAGUAUAUGACAUGCUCCUUUCUUUCUGUCUUGUCAUGUUGUCCCAAAACACAACCGAAGGCUCCAUAUAAUACAGAUAGAUAAAAUAGCAAAGGUCGUCCUUCUUCUGGAGGGACCAGAACUGGUGGUGUGGACAGGUACUCCUUGAUUUUAUUAAAAGCUUUCUGACAAUCCUCAGUCCAGCUUGCUUCAACAUCUUUCCUCAGCAUCUUGAAGAUAGACACAUAUGACUGUGGACUGUGCUAUGAAGUGGCUAAUGUAGUUGAGACGUCCUAAGAAGCUCAUCACGUCCUUUUUGCUGUUAGUUGGCGGUAACUCCUGAAUUGCCUUGAUUUCAGGUGUAUCCAACUCAAUCCCUCGACGACUGACAAUGAAUCCCAAUAAUUUUCCUGUAGGAACCCCGAAUGCAUACUUUAUGGGGUUCAAUUUCAAAUUGUACCUGCUUAGUCUGUCAUAGAACUUCCUCAAGUCUGCUAUGUGAUCUGCGGACCUCUUGAAUUUGAUCAUAACAUCGUCCACAUACACCUCUAUUUUUUUAUGUAUCAUAUCAUGGAAGAUGGUUGUCAUGGCUCUCAUGUAAGUGGCCCCAUCGUUCUUCAAACCGAAUGGCAUCAUCUUGUAAUAUUAUACACCCCAUGGUGUAAUAAAAGCUAUCUUCUCUGCAUCUUCUUCAUCUAUCCAAAUCUGGUGAUAACCCGUGAAGCAAUACAAAGGAUUGGAGUUCAUGCUUGACACAAUUAUCGAUCAAGAUGUGUAUAUUUGGCAGUGGAAGGUCGUCUUUGGGACUUGCUCUAUUUAAAUCCCGGUAGUCAACACAUACUCUGACCAUCCCAUCCUUCUUCGGAACUGGAACAAUGUUAGCUAACCAGGUUGGGUACUCAACUACCCUGAGAACUUUGACUUUAAUCUACUUGGUAACUUUCUCCUUGAUUUUCAAACUCAUAUCUGGUUUGAAUUUUCUGAGUUUCUGCUUGAUUGGUGGACACAUGGGAUUAGUAGGCAACUUGUAAGCCACUAUAGAUGUGCUCAAACCGGUCAUAUCGUCAUAUGACCAUGCAAAAAUAUCCUCAUACUCUCUUAGUAACCGAAUGUACUCUUCCUUCUUUGCCGGUGACAAGUAAAUGUUGAUGCGAGUCUCCUUGACGGUCACGGUGUCUCCCAAAUUUACUGUUUCUCUUUCGUCCAGGUUGGACUUAGGCUUGUUGAUAACUAGGGAAUAUGAUGCAUUUUACACUCCUUCCUGCUUUAGUUUUGAUUAGAAAGGUGUACAAAAUAGUCCCAAAGGCUCACAAGUUGUGCUUGAUUGUAGGUUUGAUCAAUAAGGUGACAAGGUGUCAAAAACCAGCUCAAAAAGGAGUGAAACUUGCACAAGUACCAAGACAAGACAAAGCUCAGUCAAAAUAGUGCCAGUGCGGCCGCACAUCAUUCUGUGCGGUCCACAAAAGUGAAGUUCAGAGAGGUUGCUUUUCAGGCCAUAAGGCAAUGUGGCCGCAAAAGGGUUUUGUGCGGUCCACAUUAGGUUUACCAUGACCGCACUCGAUUUCUUGCGGUCUGCAGUGCCAAUGUUCAGAGAGGUGGCAAUCCCAAUGCGGUCCGCGGUCCAUUUCAUGCGGACCACACUAGAAGCCACCGCGACUGCACUCGAUUUUGUGCGGUCAGCAUUGCCCAAGUUCAGAGAGCAAAUUAUUGGAGCCUAAAGCCUUAGUGUGGCCGCACUCAAUUUUAUGCGGUCCACACUAGCCUUGCAGGGGUAUUUUUGUCCAGAGUUUUCAGCUUAGUAUAAAUAGCUUCUUUUCCCAUUUUUAGUUCAUUGGAUAGUUUUGUACUCAGAGCUGCGCUCGUGACUUCAUUUCUUUUACCUAAUUUGAGUAAUUUUAGCUUAAUUUCAACAUUGAAUCUUCCAGUUUAAUUUAGCAAUUAAUUAUUAUGAGCUUUUCUUUAUCUAUUGCCUUAUUUUCUUCUCUAAUUAUGAGUAGCUAAACCCAUAAGCUAGGGUUGUGGCUCAACCCUAGUGUGGGUAAUUGAUGGGUCUUGUGUUUUAGGACUUGAUUGACUAUGAGUGUUUGAUAUUUGGACUAAUUUCAUGUUUAAUUGUUGAAUUAGUGAUUGCAAACACUAGUUAUUGUUUAUUUAACUUUGGCUCUUCUUGAGAAAAAGAGCCUAAGUCUCUGAAAUUGGUCCAACAAAGACUUGGGGCGUACUCAAGAGAUUGAUAGCCCCAAUUAAAGGGUUAAACCUAGAGAUAGUAAUACCCGACUUGAACCUCAAUUGCUUGCACAAAUUUGCAUACCCAAUUGGACUUGAGAAAGUCAAUUAGGGCAAAAUUACUUGAACCACCGAGAGGUGUAGAAUGAGUAGAAUCGUGCAAUGGCUAUAUCAUACUCCCCAAAUAUGAUAAUCUAGCCUUAGACUCAAGAAUCCGUUAAUUAACCACCUAGAAGAAAGUCACUACCCUAGUGCCUUUUAUCUAUUUUAUCAAUUCUCAAUAGACUAAUCUUAGCUUUAUUUAGCAUAAUUUAGCAUCGUAGUAUUAUAUAAUUAGAUGUAAAAUCAAAACUCAAAAAUGUUUAGAAGUGUAAUUUAGAACAAAUACACAACUCCACUUUAGAUAGACACUCAACACAUACAUCUCCCUCCCUGUGGAAAUCGAUCCCGACCUCAUCGGGUAAAAGCUGCUUCGACCUCUCUCGCUACUCAAUAGUAGUGCAGGGUUGGCCUCGAUCACUUUUUGGCGUCGUUGCCGGGGAGCUAAUGGUUUUGGCUAUCUAUCUAUCUAGUUUUGUGUAUUGUUCUUAUUUCUUUCUUUGUUACUAAUUUGUGUGUGUCACAACUUCAAGUACCAAAUGGCAGCAAACAACGCCAAUGACCCUCUUGAAAAUGUGAUUGCGGGGGAGGAGGUAGAUGAUGUCAAAGAUGAUGAGGUGCCUAUUGUACCUCAAGGACAAUGUAAAGGCCACCAGGCCAAUGUUAAUUCCAAUGACAAUAUUCCAGACCCUCCUUCGCCACCUCCAAGAGUGGCUCCUUGAUUGCUUCCGAACCAAGGCUAUGCAAGUGCUAUUGUCUAACCCCGAAUCUGGGAGGGCAAUUUUUAAAUAACCAAUGUGAUACUGACAUUGCUGGAGUAGCAUGGGUAUUUCACGAGCGCUGCCAAUCAAAAUGCUUACAAACAUCUCAAAAGGUUUGUGGAUACCUGUUGGGGGAGCAAGCAAACUAAUGUGUCCGAAGAUGCACUACGGUUGAGACUCUUCCCAUUCUCACUUAGAGGGAAGGAAUUGGAUUGGCUUGAGCGAAUUCCCAAACAUUCCAUCACUACUUAAGAUGAGUUGGCGGACAAGUUCAUUGCAAUUUUUUUCUCACCGGGGCAUAUGGCUACAUUGAGAGAUGAGAUCUUGGCUUUCAAAUUGGAUCCAACCGAACCUUUGCAUGAGAUUUGGGAGCGCUAUAGAACAAUGGUGAAGGAAUGCCCCAACAAUAAUAUGACCGAGGCUAUGAUCCAACAGACUUUCUACCGGGGCAUUAAUACAACAAACCAAUUCAUAGUGAACCAACUUGCUGGGGGCAACUUCAUGAAGUUGUCUUAUGAUGAGGCUUAUGACAUUCUUGACGAGAUGGCUGACACUUCUUCUGCUUGGCAAAGUAGAGCCAAUUUGCCCCAGGGUGACCCUAAGGUAACCCCAUGGUUACUCAUUUGCACAAGGAGUUACAUGAUCAUGGGCAGACUAUAGCUGAGUUGACAACUACAAUGAACCAACUAGCAAAGGCACAGUUGCAAUAAGUUCAAAAUCCUCGCCAAGUGAAUGCUAUGGAGGGUGUCAACAUGCUAGUCAAUAAAAGAAGACAAAUAGGGCAACAACACCAAGGGAAUUCGGAGUAAUUUGAUAAUGAUUGUGGGGGAUUGCAAGAUGAUGUUUAUGAUGGAUGGAAUGAAGAGGUGCAAUACGUGAAUAAUUAUCAAGGACAAAGGGGAAAUUCUUCCAACCAACAACAAUGGAGACCCCAGGGCAAUCGGGGCAAUCAACAACAAGGCAAUGGCAAUUGGGGGGAGCAACAACAAAAACUCCAACUGGGGAAAUCAGAACAACAAUCAAAACAAUCAAGGAAAUUGGAAUGGUAACAACAACAAUUGGGGUGGUAACAAUAAUCAAGGUGGAUGGAAUAAUGGCAACCAAGGAAACCGGGGGCAAGGCUUUCAAAGGCCCCCAAUGUACCAACAACUGAACAAGCCGCCUCCAUUUCCAUCCCAAGGUCCUAGUUCUUCUAACAAUGAUAUGGGGAGAAUUGAAAUGAUGUUCAAACAAAUGAUGAAAAAUAAUGCGGAUUUUGAUGCGCAGUUGGCUUCCCACAAUACCUCAAUCAGAAACUUGGAGGUGCACUUAGGCCAAAUCUCACAGUCUUUGAAUACUCGUUCUAAGGGAGCUAUACCUAGUGAUAUGGUGGUUAACCCGAAGGGUGGGAACAAUCAUGUUAUGGUGGUAACUAUAAGAAGUGAGAGGGGUGGUGAUGUGAAUGCCUCCAAACAAAAGCAAAUUUUGAGUGAUGAAGCUGAGUUGCAAGAAGAUGAAGUUCCUUUGGUGGUUGAAAAUGCGAUUGAUGACAAUGUGAACAAAGAAAUGAGGAUUGAUAUUCAAGAUGCCGAGGUGGAAACUAAAAAUGACGUGAACCCAUCUAGGGAACAUGUAAUAGAUAUGCCGGAGCCGGUUGUUCCUAAAGCCAAGGCACCUUUGCCAAGGCCACCUCCGUCUUAUCCUCAAAGGCUCGCGAAGCAGAAAAGUAAGAAUCAUUUUAAAAAGUUCAUUGACAUGAUGAAGAGCUUGUCCAUUAAUGUGCCUUUGGUGGAGGCUCUUGAACAAAUGCCGGGNNNNNNNNNNNNNNNNNNNNNNNCUAUAAAGAUGACUCGCCAAGUUAGCGCUAUACUGCACUCAAUGGCCUCGAAGCUUAAAGAUCCCGUGCUUUCACCAUUUCUUGCACCAUUGGGAGUGCAGACUUUGCCAAGGCUCUAUGUGAUUUGGGGGCUAGUAUCAAUUUGAUUCCCUACUCAGUUUUCAAGACUUUGGGUAUUUGGAAACCGAGACCGACUUAUAUGAGAUUGCAAAUCGCAGAUAGAACAAUGAAGAGACCAUCGGGUAUUAUUGAUGAUGUCCUUGUCCGGAUGGACAAAUUUAUCUUGCCAGCUGAUUUUGUGUUCUUGGAUUGUGAGGUAGAUUACAAAGUUCCGAUCAUAUUGGGGAGACAUUUCCUUGAUACGGGGAAGGCCUUAGUUGAUGUGGAAGUAGGGGAACUCACCUUCCGUGUGGGUGAUGAAAAGGUGGUCUUUCAUGUGUGCAAGUCUGCCGCGCCCCCUUUUUUCCCCCUUCCAACGGAGAGGAGUUUCCGGGUUUCGACAUUCAUGGGGUGUAAUGACUCAUUUACUUUUGGGAAUUGGGUAUUUGAAGAGUCGCCACCUAAUGAUUUAAGGCGCAUUAGGAUACCCAUAGAGUUCUUUUGUAACUAUGUUUGAUAACCAGAGAUUGGGUAAGGGCUUGGAAUUAUCCUAAGGGGAAGGUGUUAGGGACCCCUCAGGAUCCACUAGUGUGGUUCCCGGCCAGACAGUUUUUUGUGAAUUUGUGUAAUUAGCAAGUAAUCAAAUAAAAGGCUCAAGUAAUAGGGGAAUUAAGUUAAACACACAAGUGUUUGAAACCAAUUAUUGAAAGGCAAGGUUUGAAAGAGUUAUAAGCUAAACAUGCUUGUAAAAUAAAGGGGGUCCUAGGUUUGUUCAUAAUAUGGAUCACCUCAAUGCAAUACCCGGUAUGACACUCCUCAGAAGAGGGGAUAUACGUGAUAUUAGCGCACCGGUCAUCAUCCAUAUCUACCCUUCCCACCCCGUUAAGGUAUUAAAGCGCGGAUUGGUCUCGACCUCUAUUGCAUGGUAUUACCCAUCCCAUUCCUAUUAGUCCCAGAGGAAUUUAGGACUACUAUUCCUAUAAGAGGGAGGAUUUUAGGCUGACUCUUAGGUUUAAAGGUAAAAAAGCUAAGGCCACAUACAAAACACGUAGGACUACAUUUUGAGGGGAACAUAUAAACAAUUAGAGGGCUCAUAUAUAUACUUCCGCAAAUAAUGCAUAUAAAUAACAUGACUUAAACAUAGUUAAGAUGUGAAUUUUAAAAUCCUAAAGUAGAGUUUGAGUCAGAACCAGAUUCAUUACAUAACUCAAAAAAAAAGUUCGAAUCAGGCCUGCCUGCUGGUUGUAGCAGCUGGUAAUUAACAAAGGCAAUUCCAGUUUUAUUUAAACAGUUACCCAAAGCUUUCCUAGGCAUAAUAGUGAUGUCCUAUGAGCAUGAUAUAUAUAUUGAUUAAGAAUGCAAUAGAGCAGUGGUUAAUUUUAAAUACGCAAUCUGGAUCCUAUAGGCAUGCUUUCUAAUGAUAUUGAUUAACACGAAAAAAGUAUGUUAUUUAAUAUGAUUCAGACAGGCACGAGUCAAACUAAUUUUUAACUAAAUUGGUUUUAAACCUUAUAGGCAUGAUUUCUAUUACAGGUGAUUUUAAAUCCUAUAGGCAUGGUAUCUAAUUAUUAAAAGCUGACUUUGGACUUAUAGGCAUGAUCCUAAGGGAAACGAAUCUGGAUACAUGUUGUAAUGAAAAAUUGGACUUCAAUUAUUUUACAUCCUAUAGGCAUGAUAUCUAAUUAUAAAGCAGAUUUUUAACCCUAUAGGCAUGAUCUCUACUGUUAAAGCCAUUUAGACCUUAUAGACAUGGUUUCUAAUUGUGAAAAGUAAAGCAUGCAGAAUUUAUUUUAAACCAAAGCAGAUCCUAUAGGCAUGUUAUCUCACUGACCAUAUUUGGAAUCAAAAUAGACCCUGUAGGCAUGUUAUCUACCCAAUUUACCCAGAAGAUACAACUACCCACCCUUUUUCACUAAUCACCCCAUAAUUGUUUACAAAUUAUUACAGACCCAAUGAUUGAAUUACAAAAGAAGUGCAUAAAUAAGAAAUUACAACCAAAGGAAGCAUGAUCUUGACUUCCUCUCUAAGUUAUGUAAUGAACCACUUCAAUGCCAGAGUUUGAAAGCCUUUUCUCAUACCUGGGUGUGUCAUAGUUCCCUAAGGACCUCAAGGGCCCCAACAGUGCUCACACCCAGAUUUACAUAACCAAAUGNNNNNNNNNNNNNNNNNNNNNNNNNAGAGGGGCAAAACCUAGAUUCUAAGAAUAUAGUGGAAGUGCAGAACAUAGUUUGAAAAAGAGAUUUAUUUUUUAAAAGCUGGACUGACAGUCCAUUUUGAAAGCAAUUAGUGACAGAGGUGAUUUAAAUCAGCAGUAGUAGUAAAACUCAAAACUACACAGAAUCAGUAGUCAUUCAAAACACACAAACCAGGGGUCUGGUUUGGUCAUGCACAUCAAUAGCUUAUGCUGGCAUGGCGACAAACCAGUCAAAGAAACACAAACACAUAGAGGGGAUAUGGGGUUUGGGGUUCAUAAGACAGAGUAUGCUUUAAAACACACAUAGGGGAAGCAUUAAUCUAAGGGGAAAGGGAACAUAUUACAGUAUGCUAAUAAUGUAACUUGACUACAGAAACAUGAGCAGAAGUAUGCAAGAGCGAAAGAAACUAAAGCAACUAAGGAAACAUGUUGUUGUUGGGGCUUAAAUAUUAACUAGGACAUACCAGUAGAGAAGCAAAGUGCAGAAAGGUAAAGCAAGCAAAAUUCUACAGUCUAGCCUCGGCUUUCAGCCGGCUAGACAAAGCAAUAGCACAAGUAGUAGUAAAGAAGGAGAGAGUUUUUUAAGUGUAAGUGUGUGUUCUGAACUCAAAUUGUUUGUGUCUUUGAAAGAAGAGGGGGUAGGGUAUUUAUAAUUUUGAAAACGAGUGAAGAAUAAGGUAAUAAGUAAAGUCUUGAUACAGACAUGGAAAUAAUCACAAUCAGAAUCAAUUAACACAAGUGAUUCCUUUUAAUAAAGGAAUCACUGCUUAACAGAUACUAACAUGGUUAAUUAAGGAAAGAAAUCAGCUUGAAACUGAUUGAUUCUUUCCAUAUAAGGGGGAAGUAAAAAAUUAUGAAGUAAAUGAUUGAGUCUAAGUACAAAAAUAUGCUUAAUUUUGGGAAAGAAUUCAGCAAGGUAAAACAUCACAGUAAUUAAAGGAGGGGAAUAAAUUAAUUUAAACAAAUGAGUAAAAUUAGGGUUCAUAAGAAAACUUUUGCAAUCAGUCACAAUAUUGAGGGAAUCAGGAUCAUUCAAGAAAGAGUCAUGACUUUGCAUUUCGACAUAUAAAUAGCAAGCAAUGAACAUGCAUGCAUGGUCAAACAUGUUGACAAAAAGAAGCAAUACAAACAAACAGUAUUAGCAGGAAUAAGCAAGGAUUUAGUAGUAAAAGAAAUCUACUCGUAGCACAGUAGUCGACAAGGUCAAGUAGUCACAUAGAAUCAGAGUGUAGAGAUCCAAACUAACAGGUAAGAAAGUCAGAAAUAAGUAAAGACCUUCAAACUCAUAGUAAUAAGCGAGGGAAACCCUUUUAAGAAAUUAGGACUUUAAAAAUAGUCGAGUUUAAGAGAUAAUGAGAACUCAGAAUCAAAUAAGUCGAACAAGGAAAAGAGAGUCAGAAACAAAGAACUAAAUUGAACAAGUAUACAUUCAAACAAACAAGGACAGUUUCAGUCUCAGAUAAGACCAAAAAAGACCUAGGGUUUUCAACAUGCUGAAUCAAAUAGAAGGAAAGCAUAAACAAGUCGUUUGAAUAUAGUUAAAUUAUAAACAACAUUAAAAUUAGAGAAGAGAUCUUUAAAAGAUUUAAGAGAAAACCCUAAUCGUUGAAAAAUGAAGAGCCAUUUUGAAAGAAAAUCGGAGAACCUUUGGAAAAACAAUUAAGAAGUUCAUAAUAUGCACAGAUCUAAGAUAGAUCUGAAGAAAAUUGAAAGAUCUUAAAGGUUUAGGGUUUCAGAGAAACCAGAAAAAGUGAGGAAUGUGAGCACGUGAUUUUUUCCCUAUAUGAAUUACUCCCAUAAAUUCAAGAAAAUAAAUUUUUCCCAUUAUUUGCAAUUUCGUAAAUUUUUGUAGCAUUUUUUGUUAACUGUUUGCAUUUGUCUGUGCAUGUUUGUUUAUUUAAAUUCAUGAAAAAUACAAAAAUAUAUUACAUUUGCAUCUAGGAUUUAAUUUGGCAUUUUGGAAUUAGUUAGUAAUUUAGUUGUUUUACAAAAAAAAUAGAAAAAUAGAAAAACAACUCAUUUUGUUUUAAAUUUUUAACUUUGAAUUUUGUAGCUUCUUUUAAUUUGGGAACUAAUUAAUUGUCAUAAAAAUUAUGUUGAGUAAUUAGUUUAAUUUAGGAAUUUAAUUUAGUUUAAGUGUUAAUUUAAGAUUUAAUUUGAUUUGAAAAGAAUUGAGAGGAUCAAAGAUUUUGGGCCAAAUUAAUUGAAUUCCCCAAGCCCAAUUACUUUGCACCCGGUUAUACCUACCAACCCAGCCCAAACCCAUUCUAAAAAACUAGGUCCAACCCUCAUACAAUCCAAACGACCCCGUUUUGCUUCGAGUGUAUCUCAGCCGUUGAUUUUCAUUUAAUCCAACGGACGGGAACUGGGGUCCUUUUGAUAUAAAACUGUCCAAACGCCCUACACCCCCCGCCUCGUCUCUCUCAUCUCUCUACUCUCAGAGACCACAACCUCAAAACCCUAGCACCGCUUCCAUUCCCCACCGCCUCAACCGGCAGCGCCACCUCCAAACCACCCCAAAUUCACACCCUUGAACCCCCUUUACUUCCUCAUCCCAAAUCCAUGAUCAUUUACCCUCGAAUCGGAUCCAAACUUGUCAAAUUUUAAAUCAAAGGUCUAAACCCUAAAAUCCCAAAACCCAAAUCGAGGAGUUUAAUGAAGGUUUAACGCUGAAAUAGGUUUCAUUCGCGUGUUCUCGUUUGAGAACACACAAUUAAAGCCUAUUUCGUUCAAAAGUUAGAGUUCCCCUUGAAGACUGUCAAGAUUUUUUCCACCUGGCCUAAGUAUUCUUCAGUCAUUUUCCUUUCUUUCAUUUUUCUUCUGUUCUUCAUUUUGUUUGUUUAAGUUCUAGUCUCCAUCUUCUCUUACUUCACUUUUUCCGUUUUGUUUUAGUUUUAAAUCAGUUCUGUCUGUAUGUGUUGAAAUCGAGUUUGUUCAUGCUUGUUUUUUAUUUAUUUAUUUCUCUGCUUCUUUGUGUGUUUUCAUGUCCUAUUUUUUUAAAGAAAAGAAAUAUGAUUUUUCUCUUGGGCAAUUCUGCUUGGCCCAAUGAUUCUAUAUAGGUUUUGAAAUCAGAAGUCCAGGAAGAGAUGCAAUCUAGUUGUGCAAGCUUAGGAUUUUCGGAUUAAACCUUUGGGUCCAUCUGACUUUUGACCCAUUUAGAUUUUUGGGGUAAUUAACAGGGUUUAAAGGGGUAGUUUAGGAAUUUUAGGUGGAAGGAAUCUCAUUUAACUAAAUUAGGAAGCUUCUUGGAAGCUGGGGUAGGGACUUAUGUGAAAAUCUCAAUUUUACACUAAGGAUACCUAAGCAAAAAUGAAAAUUGUAAAAGGUUCUAAGUGCAAAAACUAGUUGUAUUUCUGCUGCCCUAAUACCUUGCCUAUAAACCAUCUUUACUUCACUAGAAAGAAAGAGGAAGAAAAAAGAAACAUUAGAGAUAGAAAAACCCCUGAAAACUGAACGCAUGACUAAAAAGAACACUGAAUUUCCUACAGUUCUUGGUGGAAAACUGCUCAAAAUUUGGCUUGUUUUUCUCUGGAUUUCUGAUUCUCUUGUCUAGAACUCUUGAGAAAGCUCCAUAGUUAUACUGUUGGAUUGAAGAAAAUGGUUUGAGUUUGGUUUUAUGUUGGGGUGUUGAUUUGUGUUUCCUCCAUUGUUCCAUCAAUUGUUCUCGAGCUGGUUUUUGCUGUUUUAUUGACUGAAUCUAGGAUUUGUUUUGCUUGCUGCCGGCUACUGAUUCUUCACUCCUUGGUUUCUAUCUUAUCUCCAGGUAUUUCCUUCAAACCAUGAAUGGAAAUGAAGUUCGUUAUGGCUGUUAUGUUGGAGUCAUGUAAUUCAAGUUGAAAAAAAACUGAUUGUUGUCCCUUCUCUGUUGCAUUACCAGUUUUAAAGUCUAUUAUAUUUUGUUUUUCAAGCUUCUCCCAGGCUCAUAUAAGUUAUUUAGUUCUUGUCAUUAUCUUUUUAGGUUCUGUUAUGGUGUUGUAUAAAUGUUCCUUUUCACUAGCUUAUUUUAAACGCUUGAAGGUUUCUUAUCACAUGUAUAAGUGGUACAGAACUAAUGCAAGGAAAUUUCAGUAGCAUCAAGUAUGUUUCAGGUCUGUUUUGGCCUGUUGAAGCCAUUGUUGUGUGUAUGUGCUUCAAUUUGUUUUAAGAUUGAUGUCCAUAAAGUUUGAAAUCAGGAACUUUCAUGUUGAGGUUUAUCUAGUGUAGUAUCUUAUUUCAUGAAUUAUUGAUUGAAGGGCCUCUAAUUCAUGUAGCUUAUAGUCACCUUGAAUGAGGAAAAUGGUUUGAUUGCUUACUGCAAGGGGUUAGCCUUGUGUGGAAUUUCUCCGGACAUUUAUAAGUCUGUUUAAGUCCCGAUCUAGAUUUGUGUUCAUUUGACAAAUUUUAUGAGUUUUUAACCUGCCAUAGCAUGUGUCGAAAGAGGCUCUAUUAAGUCUAACAACUCGCCUAAUUCCCUUUUGAGUUUACUGGAGAUUUAAGUGGUCAGGAGAGUCAGAUGAUUAUGUGUUAUCGAAAGCCAUGUUAGGCUCACAUCUACAUUUUUAUAAUCUGAUGUUUUGCAUGCUUGAAGACUCGAUCUUGAGUCCUGCAACUAUUGAUGCUCAACUCUCCAAGGACUUGGGUUCACGUUGGGCCUGAAAUGGAGACAAGCCGCAUUGCUUUAUAUGUAGGGCCAGUUAUUUGAGCUCAAUGCUAUUUUUCGUUAAUUGCUAACCAUUUUGCCAUUCAUUCAUCCUUUCUAAUGUUGGUCUAUUGGUUUAAAAUUGGAUCAAAUUUUUAGUCUGAAAAGUAGUGAUAAUUCUUUUCCUUGAUUAAUUAUAUUUGUUAAAGUAGACUUGAGGCGUGCCAUGUUAAAUAAGCUCAGUUAUGGCCUUCAGAAGCUUAGUUUCAAUUCCCUUUAAAAUUGGAAUUGAGGUGCGCCGUGCCAAAUAAAAUCUUAAAAUGCAUGGCCCUCGCUUAAUUAAUUUUAAAUCUUUAGAAUUCGAGGCGUACCAUUUAGUUGAACUUCCAUGGCCCUCGCAAAUUAAAAAAUGCGUAGUUGCUUUAAGCGCAUAAUUUAAAUUACCUUCCUAAACUCGGGUGUGCAUUUAUAUGACCCAAAUUCAAAUCUCAACAACGUCAAAUAAAAUGUGUCAUGGACCGCGGGUGCAUUUAUGUGACGUGGUUCAAGAUGUGUUUUAGAUGAUGUUGAAUCUUUCUAAAAAUAUUUAAAUAAAAGCGGUUAUAAGGUUAAAAAUGUACCAUAGGCUAAAACAUGUAUUAAAAUCAAAUAAAUAGGCCAAUAAUAACAGUUGAGCGACCGUGCCAAAACCAUGGAAAUCGGGAAUGCCUAACACCUUCUCUCGGGUUAACAAAAUUCCAUACCCAGAUUUCUGUGUUCGCGGACUGUAAAACAAAGUCAAUCUUUCCUCGAUUCGGGAUUUGAACCGGUGACUUGGGACACCAUAAAUUAUCCCAAGUGGCGACUCUGAAUUUUAAAUACAAUAAUCCCAUUUCGAUUGUCGCUUUAAUUGGAAAAACUCCUUAUACCCUUUCCGGGGUAGGUAAAAGGAGGUGUGACAGCUCUGGCGACUCUGCUGGGGAACGAAUCCAAAAUCUCUGGUUCAGGGUUCAAGAAUUCGAGCUUAGAAUAAUUGUUAUAUUUGGCUUUUAUUUAUUAUUGGAUUUUACGUGUUUGGGCCUAAUGUGCUAAAUGUUGUUUUUUACCGCUUUGAUACUAUUUGAAUUGUAUAUAAAUUGCUAAGGAACCCUUCUCUUCUCAUUUUCGGGGAUGUGCACGCUGGCGUGAAUCCUCUUCUGUUAGUGUCAUACCUUAAAUUAAAAAGAGGCUCGGACAAGUUACAAAGUCGAGUGGCCUUUUGGUUCCCGGUACGUAGCCCCCUCCUCACCUCGAGUUGUCCGCUCGGGUGCAUAAGUCUAGAACAGUAUACCCAGGUUUUAUACUUAGAAUAACUCAGUCUCAUGCCGGAUCCCUAGUAGGAACGUUUGUUUGCAACAUGUGCAUUUGACUUUGGAGACUCAACACAGGAGUUGGGUCUGUCUAGGACAGGUGUACCCGAAAUGAAAAGACCAUCCUGAUGCAUCCUACUUGCUACUUGCGCAUUCAUUUGCUUCGGAUUUGCAUGCUGACCGGCUUAUCGAAUAAUAGGAGAAAGGUUGAGAAGAAGAAAGUCAAUGUAAGGGCUGAGAGAGAUAAUUGCUUGCUUUUGAAAAACCGAUGUCCAAAAUAUACUGAAACUCUGCUGGAAUUUUGAAAAAAAGGGAAAAGGAAAAAUUUUGUUUUUUUAAAAAAAAUGGUCGGUUUUUGUUUUGUCAAAACUGCCCGAACUACGCCAGUUUGAUUCCCACCGGAUGUGGGAUACGUAGGCAACCCCCAUCGGUUCCAACUUCCCUUUUGCAAGAAUAGCCCAAAAGAACCAAAAUGUUAUUGCUUUGUUGUAAAUAAGUAAGGUGAUGUCAUUCUUGUCAAAAAUAGCCGAAUGUCCCCAAAAGGACGCCGGAAGACUGUUUUUGCAAGAACAUCCACCUUUGGUCUCUUUUACAAAUUUUUGGUCGGUUAGGAAGCAUGACCUUAAAAUCUUCUCCCCCGAAGUGCUGAAAGGCCAUAUUUGCAAAGUCGGGUUUUAUUUUUGAAAUACAAAUUUGGAAAAAAAUAGUGUUAACUUUUCUUGAGUCAAAUGAGUCAUGAUUUUACUUAAUUAAAUCACCCUAAUAAAUGUGCAGAAUGAGCACGAGUCAAAUUUUGCCAGUAACAGUCAUGACCAAGAUCCCUUUGGAGUUGUAUAUGUGGUGGGAAGAUCUAGGUGAAUCAGGACAAGAUAGGGUCAAUCGCUACUUGGGAGGUCUUACCGGGUUAUUGAAGAUCAGGCCUAGAGGAUACAUAAUAAAGGCACUGGUUAUGUUUUGGGACCCAGCUCACAACGUGUUUCAUUUCUCGGAUUUUGAACUCUCACCCACUCUAGAAGAAAUAGCCGGAUAUAUUGGGAGCACUGAAGCUCCUAUGAGACACAAGUAUUUGAUUGCUCCAAGAGUCGUCGCUGCACACAAGUUCCUAGAUUUCUUAAAGAUAAGCAGGGGGUCCAUUACCCAGAUCUGGCAGCUGGUUUUUCAACUCCGCAAUUUAUAUACCAGCGAUACAGACAUAUAGAGGGGUUUAACAAUCCAGAAAGCAAAAUUUGCAGCAAAGGGAAUCGCCUCAAAUAGGAAGAACACAGGUGCUUCGCUUUUAUGGUGGUAUUCUUGGGUCUUCUAGUGUUUCCCAGGAAAGAUGGGAAUAUUGAUAUACAGAUAGCUGGGGUCGUCAGCACUUUGCUUACUCAGGCCAAAAGCACCCUCGCACCCAUGAUAGUGUCUGAAAUCUUCCGGACUCUCACAGCUUGCAAAGCCGGAGGAGACUUUUUUGAAGGGUGCAACUUGUUGCUACAAAUAUGGAUGAUUGGACAUCUAUAUCAUCGUCCUCAAUACCUGAACUAUGGGUCGAUAGAGAAAAGCUGCAUAGAGGAGUUUUAUACAAGGGUCGACGGGUUUAACAUGCCAGAAGGGGUCACAGAAUGGAUAUCACGUCUCCGUUUCGUCACUACAAAUCAAAUAGAAUGGACGUUCGGGUGGUUUCCUGUAGAUGAAAUCAUAUACAUGCCAGCUACCGGACCUCAAUUCCUCCUGAUGGGUCUCAGAAGUAUCCAACCUUAUGCCCCAUACCGGGUUUUGAAGCAGCAGGGGAGAUGUCAAAUAGUUCCAAAGGAUGAAGACCUUAAUACUCAGGUAGUCGAUAUUGGUUAUAUCGGUCAAUUUCAUGAAGCAGCAGUUCGCCAGAUCUGGAGCGAGUGUCAGUACUUGACAGCAAGCACCCAAGUGCGUGAUCUAUCCAAGGGUGAAGUCUCACCCUGUUACCUCGCAUGGUACCAAAGAAGUGUUAAGUUUGGGAGACUAGCCAAAAGACCCCAUAUUCAAGAAUUUGUCGAGGCGUCAUAGGCGCAAUAGGAUUGGUUGGCCAAAAAAAAUGAAUAUAGGGCUACCAUAAGCAAGCUGGAAAAGCAAGUCAAGGAUCUUCAAUUUGAGAAUGGUUUGCAAGCCGCCACAGAUAAGUGUGAGAAGAACAAUCUAGCCAAGGAAAAUGAAGCCCUUCGAGCCCAAAUUCGAGAAAUGAAAAUAGCGGCCGAAAAUUCCGCCAGAAGUGCAAAAGAUGGAAAGCUUAUAGAUAACCUUAGGCGGAAGUUGAGUGAGUAUGGUUUUGAUCUGAACAAGGUAGAGGAUGAACUAGAAAGGGCUCGAAAAAAAUUGGCUAAGAAUGCGGAGGAAUGAGCGCCCUUGGUUAGAUAGUUAAAAGAGAAAUAUGAUAAUGAGGUUAUGGGGUUGAAGAAAAGGGGUCACCAUCGUUGAGAACAAAAUGAUCAAGCAGACAAAAAACUUUAAGGUAGAAAGAGAACACUGUUAUGCAGAGAUGACACAGUUAGAAAAAGAUCUGCAACAACUUCAAGAACAGAAUCAUAUAGCUGAACAAACUUUGGAAGCUAGGGCCCAACAGAUUGGGCAUUUGUUGCAAGAAAAGGGCGUCAUAAGAGAAAGGGUCAGAAGGAUCACUGACUACAUCAUAGUGAAGUGCAGUAAGUGUGAAGACAUGACCAGAUCCAUGUUUUUUGCCACUGUAAUGACAUUUGUCCGCCAGAUAAUGGAGGAUCUCUAUCAUCUCCAAGGGGAUUUGGUGCAUAGGCCCAUGGCAAUACCGACUAAUGUCCCGCAGCCCCCCGGAGUAGUUGAGGCAUUGAUGUAUUCAUGAUUUUCAUUCGAGUCUGUGUUUUCAUUUUCUUUAUUGGAGUCUGUUAGUCUGUUUUUGAGUCUGUAUUUUCAUUUUUCUUUGUUGGAGUCGGUUAGUCCACUUUUGAGUAUGUAUUUUCAUCUUUCUAUUGGAGUCUGUUAGUCCCCCUUUUCGAGUCUGUUAGUUUAAAUUCUAUAGGAUGAGUCAUUGUAAUCAAGAUGUUUUACGAAAAAUUUGAAAACCCCAAAAUAUUUUUUUUAUUCCUAGAACUACGCUUGGUCUGAUUCGUGCGGGGUCAUGAUACGUAGACAAUCUCCAUAGGAUUCGAUCAUAACCAAAAGAAAAAAAAGAAAAGAAAAUGAAAAAAAGAGAAGGAAAAAGAGAAAAAGAGAGAAGGAAAAAGAGAAAAAGAGAGAAAACAAGAAACUGUGGGAAGGAAACAAUGGCAAAACAAGAGAGAAAAUAAGAGAAUAAAGGACAAUGAGAAAUCAAGCAAAGAAAGGCAGGAGUGAAAAAGAGAGAAAUUGCAAAAUGGACAUUAGGGAAAAUCAGGAUGAUGCAAGCAACCAAUCAAAUGCAUAAUAGAAAUGGUUAACUGCUUAGGUGCAUUGCAUCCCCAACGUGCGGUUGCCUAUCUGUUAAUCUCUAAUCACUAACAAGUUUGUUGUUGAAAUCAGUACAGGCAGGUGGUUAGUUUGUUUGGCAUUCUGGCAACUCAUCCGUACAACACCAGGUCAAAAGACAAGUUUAUCAUGGCUAACCAAGAACUGGAUGCCAGUGUUAUUGAUCCGUCAAGAGAGGGGGAAGAGUCUGAUGUUAAUCUGAAAGAGGAGUUGUAUAAGCUGAAACAAUAGAUGACAGAGAUGUACCAGGCAUUAGUGAAAGGGCAUCCACCACCAUCCUACCCCGCCAACCCUGCUUUCAUCCCGCCAUUGGUUCAAUCCCAGGAACCUCCCACUACUGAUUCAUCUCCAGGCUUUCCCGUUUACCACCACAACCAAGGCACCACUUCCCAAACACCACUAGCUCCACCACCCAAACUAGUCUCGUACCCUCCUCUACCAGCCACCCCUAUUUUCGUGGCACCCUCAACCGCUACAAUCCAAUGAGACUCUAUUCCAGACCCAAGAUAAACAAUACUAUUCCCCGGAGCCUACUUUAAAAGCCCCUGAACCUUACUCCUAUACCCCUCGUUUUGACCCCCCCCCCCCCGUUGAGACUAAGAAACCACCUAAAAAUCUAGAACAGGAGGAGAUGUUCAGGAAGGUUAAAAUCUUGGAACAAUCAUUCAGAAACAUGCAGAGAUUGGGAGGUUAGGUGAGCGUGGCCUACAAAGAUUUGUACCUAUUUCCGGAUGUUCAACUGCUAGUGGGAUUCAAAAUGCGCAAAUUUGAUCUGUAUGGCGGGCAAGGAGACCCGGUGGCCCAUUUGAGGAGAUUUUGCAGUAAAAUGAGAGGAGCCGGUGGGAAAGAAGAGUUGUUGAUAGCAUGCUUUAGCUUGAGUCUGAUCGGCACGGCGUUGGAGAGGUACACUCGUCAGGAUCACAGCAGAUGGUAUACGUGGGAUGAUUUGGCCCAAGCAUUCACUUGUCAUUUCCAAUACAACCUCGAGAUCAUUCCAGAUCAUUUAUCUCUGACUAAGAUUGAGAAAAAGCCUAGUGAAAGUUUCAGGGAAUACGAUUUCCAUUGGAAAGAGCAAGCAGCUAGGGUUGACCCUCCGAUGAAAGAGAGUGAAAUGGUAGAUUACUUUUUGCAGGCUCUAGAGACAACUUACUACGGCCAUCUAGUAUUGGCCAUAGACAAGUCCUUCAACAAGGUAGUGAAGAUGGGUGGCAUGGUAGAAGAAGGGCUUAAGUCAAACAAAAUCCUGAGCUACUCGGCUAUUAAGGCAACUACCCAAGCCAUUCAAAAUGGUACUGGGGGAGUAAUCGGAAAGAAGAAGAAAGAAGAUGUGGAAACAAUUGAUUCAGGAGCAUGGUUUGGACCCAGGGGUCCGUCCCACCAUUAUAAUCAGCCUCGGCCCCACUACCAAACCUACCCCCAAACCCUGUAUAAUCCACCCCAACAUUACUACCCAUCUCCAGACCCUCAUUUUUCUAUCCACCACGCCCAAACAUACACUCAACCUCCCGCCCAUGCACAAUGGCGUGCGCCAGCCUCACAAAUCACCUACCCAACUCCACAAAAUGCCUACCUACCCCCACGAGCCUACCAAAACCCUACUGGCUCAGGUUUCCGGCCCAAUCAAGCAUUUAAAAAUGAGAGGCUGCAGUGGAAGAAAACCUUCACCCCAUUGGGAGAGCCCUAUACUAUUUUGUUCCACAGGCUGAGGCAAUUGGAUAUGCUGAGACCAAUUGAGUCGAAAUUGCCAAACCCUCCUCCAAAGAAUCUUGAUUACUCUAUAAGUUGUGAAUAUUGUCCUGGCACUUCGGGGCAUGAUACGGAGAAGUGCUGGCACUUGAAAAAUGCCAUCCAAGAGCUAAUUGAUACUAACCGGAUUGAAGUCCAAACUCCAGAGGCACCCAACAUCAACCAGAACCCGUUGCCAACUUAUCAGGAGACAAACAUAAUCGAGAUAGUGCAUAAGGGAGGGGAGCCCAAGAAGCCUUCACAGACCGUCAUGAUGAUUCGGUCUAGUGAGGUCAAGCUAGAUGAAAAACCAACAAUUGAGAGAUCAGUGAACAAGUUGAGCGGGACAAAUGGUGAACCAUCUGCGAUAGUCAAGAAGGGGUCCCUGAGUGAUGUUGCAGCAAAACAAGAAAAGCCAAAAGUGGUUGUGCCAGGAGUGGCAAACAAGCCUGUCGUAAUUGUAGAGGGUUCCCGUACGGAUCCUGUCGUCAUCAAGCCUGUAACCCAACUGCCAAUAGUUAACAGCAAGGCUGUCCCGUGGAAUUAUGAACGAGUGACGGUGACCUAUAAGGGAAAAGAAGUUAAAGAGGCCCAUGGAUUAACCCGUUCGGGGAGAUGAUUUGCCCUGGAAGAGUUAAGGAAAGCUAAAAGCUCCAAAGAUAACCCAGUUCUAGUGAAGAAAGCGGUAACUAAAGAAGAGGCGAGGAAUUUCUGAGAAAAAUGAAAGUACAAGACUAUUCCAUCAUGGAGCAGUUGAGAAAGACGCCUGCUCAGAUUUCACUGUUUUCAUUGUUAAUCUACUCAGACGAGCAUCGUCAUGCCUUGAAGAAAAUCUUGAAUGAGUCUCACGUUCCUUACAAAAUCUCAAUGAUCCAUCUAGAAAAGAUUGCCAACAAAAUAUUUGAGGUGAACAGAGUCACUUUCUCUGAUGAUGAGUUACCUGUUGAAGGUACUAAGCACAAUAGAGCCCUCUAUCUUAUAGUGAAAUGUGAAGAUUCCGUGGUUACCAGGGUAUUGGUUGACAAUGGUUCUAGUGCAAACAUUUGCCCUCUUUCUACUCUGAACAAGUUGAAAGUGGAUGAUGAGAGGAUUCACAAGAACAAUAUCUCGGUUCGGGGAUUUGAUGGUGGAGGGAAAGAUUCAGUUGGUGAUAUAGUGCUUGAGUUGACAAUAGGACCGGUUGAAUUCACCAUGGAGUUUCAGGUGCUGGAUUUAGCCGUUUCCUACAAUCUGCUGUUAGGUCGACCUUGGAUUCAUGCCGCUAAAGCAGUCCCGCCCACUCUGCACCAGAUGGUCAAGUUCGAAUGGGAUAUUUAGGAAAUCAUUGUACAUGGCGAGGAUAAUUUGUGUGCUCACAGUGAUGCCGUUGUUCCGUUCAUUGAGGUUGAAGAUGACAAAGGGCCUUGGGUCUAUUAGGUUUUUGAAAUAGUGUCAGUCGAGAAAAUUCCAGAAGGAAAAUGCGUUCCAAUUCCAAAGGUAACCGCCGCAUCAGUCAUGAUGGCUUUUGAAAUGCCGAAAAAUAGUUUUGUACCUGGUAAGGGUAUGGGUGCAUCUCUGCAGGGUAUCAUACAACCGAUGUCUCUCCCUAAAAACUUGGGUACAUUUGGUCUAGGAUUCAAACCCACAACCGUAGAUGUGAAAAGGUCUAGAAAGUUGAAACAGAGGGCGUGGGCACUGCCAAAGCCUAUCCCACGUCACUUUAGGUCGUUUGUCAAGCCUGGUGCCAGGAAACGCCCAGUGACAACAGUUCCCAGUUCUGUGGUUGGCGUUGAUGAAGAGUUAAUUGAAAGGUUCAAGAGGUUGUUCGACAAUGUGAACAUGGUGGAAGUUGGUGCAGGUUCUAACAAGCAGAUGUGCAGUUUGUUGGGCCGAGUGCAAAGCUUAACAAUUGGAAGGCUACUCCUCUCCCUACCCGAAAAGAGUUUUGGUAGUUUGCUUUGAUUUUCUUUCAGUUUAUUUGGAUUAUUCCAGGGCUGUAAUUCAGAUUCUAUGUUCCGUCUGUUUGGAUGUAUAAACCUUGUUAUCUUUUAAUUUCAUUGAAAUGCAAUUUCCCUUUUUCAUCAUUCCUGAUAGUUUUAUUUUUGUUUUUCUUUUUUUCCUUGUAUAGUCCUUUUUAUGCCGGUUCAAUGACAUGACAUGCAUGAGGAAUCUUCGGCCCAGUCUUAAAAGUCAAUCUACUUUAGAAAUAACAAUUCAAGAAAUAGAGUGUGAUGAUGAAUCAGAAUAUGAUGAGGAUGAGGCCUUUGAAGAGAUUAGUAAAGAAUUAAGCCAUUUUGAGGGAAAACCCAAGCCUAACCUGAAUGAUACCGAAACAAUCAAUUUAGGGGACCCAGAUAAUGUCAGGGAAACUAAGAUAAAUGUUCAUCUUGAACCGCAAAUCAGGGAAGAGAUAAUUAAAGCAUUGUUUGAAUACAAAGAUGUUUUCGCAUGGUCAUAUGAUGACAUGCCGGGCCUAAGCACUGACUUGGUGGUUCACAAAUUGCCCACUGACCCGGCAUUUCCUCCUAUCAAGCAGAAGUUCAGAAAGUUCAAAACCGACAUGAGUGUGAAGAUUAAAGAAGAGGUCACAAAGCAAUUUGAUGCAAAUGUCAUUCGAGUCACGCGGUAUCCCACUUGUUUAGCCAAUGUUGUACUUGUGCCAAAGAAGGAUGGUAAGACUAGAGUGUGUGUUGAUUACCGUGAUCUCAACAAGGCAAGUCCAAAAGACAACUUCCCACUGCCAAAUAUCCAUAUUUUGAUUGAUAAUUGUGCCAAGCAUGAGAUUGGGUCUUUUAUAGACUGCUAUGAGGGCUAUCAUCAGAUCUUAAUGGAUGAGGAAGACGUAGAAAAGACGGCAUUCAUCACGCCAUGGGCGACAUAUUGCUACCGGGUAAUGCCAUUUGGUUUGAAAAAUGCUGGAGCAACGUACAUGAGGGCAAUGACGACCAUAAUCCACGACAUGAUACAUAAGAGAUCGAGGUUUAUGUGGAUGAUGUGAUCAUAAAGUCUAGGAAGCAGUUUGACCACGUCAGAGAUUUGAGAAAGUUCUUCCAAAGGCUCCGCAGUUACAACCUUAAGCUCAAUCCUGCAAAGUGCGCAUUCGGUGUGCCAUCUGGAAAACUGCUGGGAUUCAUAGUCAGCCGUCGAGGCAUCGAGUUGGACCUGUCAAAAAUCAAAGCUAUCCAAGAAUUGCCACCUCUAAGGAACAAGACUAAGGUGAUGAGUCUAUUAGGGAGGCUGAACUACAUCAGCAGGUUUAUUGCUCAGCUCACGACAACUUGUGAGCCUAUCUUUAAGUUGCUGAAGAAGGAUGCUACAGUCAAGUGGACAGAUGCGUGUCAAAAAGCAUUCGAUAAGAUAAAGGGGUACCUAUCAAACCCACCGGUGUUGGUCCCACCAAAACCGGGGAAACCUUUGAUUCUAUAUUUGACAGUUUUGGACAAUUCAUUUGGUUGUGUGUUGGGUCAGCAUGACAUCACCAGCAGGAAGGAGCAAGCCAUCUAUUAUCUCAACAAGAAGUUCACAUCUUAUGAGGUUAAGUACACUCACCUUGAAAGGACAUGCUGAGCCCUAACUUGGGUAGCACAGAAGUUGAAGUAUUAUUUGUCAUCUUACACUACUUACCUCAUCUCUCGUUUGGAUCCGUUAAAGUAUAUCUUUUAGAAGCCUAUGCCCAUAGGGAGACUGCGAAGUGGCAAAUUUUGCUCACGGAAUUUGACAUUAUCUAUAUGCCUCAGACCGCGAUGAAGGCCCAAGCAUUGGCCGAGAACCCGGUUGACGAAGAAUAUGAAUCGUUGAGAACUUAUUUUCCCGAUGAAGAGGUGAUGCAUCUUGAUGAGAUGGAGCAGAUUGAAAAACCAGGUUGGAAACUUUUUCUUUGAUUGGGCUGCAAACAUGAAAGGAGUCGAAAUAGGGGCCGUGCUUAUUUCUGAAACAGGGCACCAUUACCCUGUUACGGCUCAACUUUGUUUCUAUUGUACCAACAACAUAGCUGAGUACGAGGCAUGCAUUUUGGGUGUGAGGUUAGCUGUAGACAUGGGUGUCCAGGAGGUCUUGGUCUUGGGAGACUCGGACCUUCUGGUGCACCAGAUUCAAGGAGAAUGGGAAACGCAGGAUUUAAAACUCAUAUCGUACCGACAAUUCUUUGUCAACGGUUCCGAUUAGUAGAGUUCACGCAUAUUCCAAGGAUCCAUAAUGAGGUUGCCGAUGCUUUGGCUACUUUGGCGUCAAUGUUACAUCAUCCAGAUAAGGCUUAUGUUGGCCCUUUGCAUAUUCAGGUCCGCGAUCAACAUGCUUACUGUAACAUGGUAGAAGAAGAACUUGAUGUUGAGCCGUGGUUCCAUGACAUCAGGGAGUACAUCAGAAUGGGGGUGUAUCCGGUGCAAGCCACAGGGAUCAAAAUAGAACAAUUAGACGGUUGGCAAGUGGAUUUUUCUUCAGUGGAGGAGUUUUUUACAAAAGGACUCCAGAUCUUGGUUUGUUAAGAUGCAUAGAUGCUAGACAAGCAUCAACUAUCAUGAUUGAAGUACAUUCCGGGGUUUGCGGGCCACACAUGAGUGGGUAUGUUCUGGCAAAAAUGAUUCUCCGAGCAGAUUAUUAUUGGCUCACCAUGGAGCGAGAUUGUAUCAAUUUUGUGCCCAAGUGUCAUCAAUGUCAAGUGCACGAAGAUUUGAUUCAUUCUCCGCCAUCUGAAUUGCAUACAAUGUCUACACCAUGGCCCUUCAUUGCUUGGGGCAUGAAUGUCAUUGGACCAAUUGAGCCAGCAUCAUCCAAUGGGCACAGGUUCAUUCUGGUGGCCAUUGAUUAUUUCACCAAGUGGAUUGAAGCUAAAACUUUGUGACCAAGAAAGCAGUGGUUAAUUUUGUUCAUUCAAAUAUCAUCAGUCGGUUCGGGAUCCUAAAGGUAAUCGUCACAGAUAAUGGUGCUAAUCUCAAUAGUCAUUUGAUGAAAGAGGUAUGUUAGCAGUUUAAGAUUACGCAUCACAAUUCCACCCCAUACUGCCCCAAGGCGAAUGGAGCAGUCGAGGCAGCCAGUAAGAACAUAAAGAAGAUACUUCGAAAAAUGGUGGAAGGUUCCAGGCAAUGGCACGAAAAGUUUCCCUUUGCGUUGUUGGGUUAUCACAUUACUGUUCGCACUUCAGUAUGUGUAACUCCUUACUUGUUGGUAUAUGGCACAGAAGCAGUGAUAACCGCGAAAGUUGAAAUACCAUCCCUUCGAAUUGUUGCUGAAGCCGAAAUUGAUGAUGAUGAGUGGGUCAAAAACCGUCUGGAGCAAUUGAGUUUGAUUGAUGAAAAAAGGUUGGCAGCAGUAUGUCAUGGCCAGUUAUAUCAAAAGAGAAUGGCAAGAGCAUACAACAAGAAGGUGCGUCCCUGGAAGUUUGAAGUGGGUCAGGAAGUAUUGAAACAUAUCCAUCCAUAUCAGGCUAAAGCAAAAGGCAAGUUCGCCCUUAAUUGGCAGGGGCCGUUCAUCGUAGCGAGAGUGUUGUCCAAUGAUGCAUUAUAUUUAACAGACAUAGAAGGCACAUAUGUAGACCUGACUAUCCAUUCUGAUGCAGUCAAAAGAUACUAUGUAUGAUUUCUUUGGUUUAAAUUGUAUUUUUUUGUACUUGGCAUGUUUUGAAGAAUGGAAUGACGAAAACAUUUUUUCUGCUAUCUAAACACUUUAUCCGUUGUUACCCCUUUGAGCCUUAUUUGUUUAUUUUCUUUCAUACCCCUCUUUUGGAAUUAGUAGCAAAACUCAACGCAGGCGCAAAAGAUAAGUAAAGGAAAAGAGAGAAAAAAAAGAAAAGAAUAAAAAGAGAAAAAAAACAACAAGAAAGAAAAAAAAAACAAAAGGGAAAAGAAAAAAAGAAGGAAAGAAAAGAAAGAAAAGAAAAGAAAAAUCACAACAACAAAAUAAUUUCUAUGACAUGAACUAUGUUCGACCUGAUUCCUUUUAAGGAUACGUAGGCAGCCUCACGAUUCGGUCCCAUCAAAAUAAAAAUCCAAAAGUCCCCAGGCAAAGAGAACUGGGGUAGAAGUUGUGGUUGUUGUAAAAAAUCUGAUUUCGAAAGUUGUAAUUUUGAACCCAUUUGAAAUGUUUUGAGCCAUUUUGAUACCCUUUCUUUUUAACCCUAUCCAAAAGCCACAUUACGGUCCAAAGAAAGACCUUCCGAUCAGUCUUCGAGAGAUGCCAAGUCGAGCAAGUAGAGGUGAUUCAUAUCAGGGGCAACACUCCGGUCCAGGCAGGAAAAAUGAGAAAAUGAGAGAGUCUUAUUGGUGAAAACCCUCGCCAGCACUGUAAGGCGACAUAAGCUGAGAGAAAUUGAAAUAAGAGAGUCUUAUUGGUGAAAACCCUCACGGGCACCGUAAGGCAAUAGUGAGUUGAGAGAUGAACAAAUGAGAGAGGUUUGUUGGUGAAAACCCUUCAGGGCACCGCAGGCCGAACAAGGUCAGUGAUUUGGUGAAAAAUUGGGUUAUGGAAAUCUUGGGGCACCAAGUAUGACAACUGAAAGUGGAUUGGUUGGAUAGACUGGGCUGAUUAAUCCAAAAUGUAUGUCAUGAUCAUUGGUACCAGCUGCUCCACUCAGAUAAGCCUUUCUUCUUUUUUUCCCUCACACAGUCAGCCAGUUUGGAUUUUUCUUCCUUAUUCCUAACUCUCAAAGUCAUUGCAUUUCAUUUCUUUUGGGUUUAUUUCUCUAAGAUGUUUCCAAUGUCAAUCUUGUUUAAAAAAAUAAGAAAGGAUUUCAAAGCUCACUACGAACUUCCAAAAUUGCACAAAGCACAGUGCGGCCAAAGCAUGAGUUAGUAUUAUGUAAAGUGGGAUGUAAAGUGUCAGUGAAAGUUCCAUCGGUGGAAUGGUUUAGUAAUUUCGUGGGAGAUGCAGAGGUUCAGGUGGAAAGGCUAGAAAUGCAAAACAACGGUUUGGGUAUAGAGCACUCAGGUCAUCUAGGGUCCUGCGGUUGAGGAUCAGUCAGAAAGUGAAGCGGUUCUUGGCCAGUUCGGGGAAACCAGUCAAAGCAAAGCACGAUAGUGGAGAGGCCACCUUCAACAAGAAUGCCAUAAACUAACCACCACAUUUUAAACUGACAAGAUAUUUCUUUGAUUCGAAAUAGGGGCAGAAAAUCUCGUUCGUUUCGGAGAAACCCUCCGCAAGGAAAAGCAAGCACCAGACAGAUUUGACCGUAAAUUCUCAGGACCCUCCUGAACAAUGGGACCUAGUUUAAAAUUCAAACAUGUUUGAGUAACAAGAUCUAGCAUAAGUCUUACCCCAAAGAAAUAUAAGUUGGCUUUGAAGUUUUCAUUCUUAGGAUAGGAUUCAAUUCGAAAUUGUCAGGACCCUCCUGAAUAAUGGGACCUAGCUUUAAGAUUUCCAUUAGAUAACAAGAUUUAACAUAAGUUCUGCCGUAGGGAAGUAUAAUUUAGCCUUAAAGUUGUCGUUCUUAAGAUGAGAUUUGAUGUUCAGGACCCUCUUGGAAAAUGGGAUGUUGUUUUAAGACUUUCUUAGAUAACAAGAUUUAGCGGAAGUCAUACCUUUAGAAAAUAUAAUUUAGCUUCAAAACUGUCAUUUAAGUAGGAGUUUUCAGGACCCUCUUGGAAUGGAUCUAGCUUUGAAAUUCUUAGAGACAUUUGGUAACAUGAUUCAAUUAACACUCACAGGUAUGCCCAACUACCAAACUGGGGCAGAAAAUUUUCUUUGUUUUAUUUAUUUUGUUGAAAUUAGGCACCUACCUGGAGAGCAGGGGAGAAUAACACGAGUUUUAAGGAUAGAAAGUAGUUCGGGGUCAAGCAAUCAAGCACCCAUUGGGGAAACAAGGAAAGAUAGUUAAAAGGAAAAGCAGUCGCAAAAGGGAAGCAAUUCAAAUGUUGGUAAUCAGGAGCCCACCUGGAGAACAAAGGGAAGUAGCUUAAGUGUUGGUAAUCAGGAGCCCACCUGAAGAACGAAGGGAAGCAGCAGCUCAAGUGUUGGUAAUCAGGAGCCCACCUGGAGAACGAAGGGAAGUAAUUCAAGUGUUGGUAAUCAGGAGCCCAUCUGGAGAACGAAGGGAAGCAGUUCAAGUGUUGGUAAUCAGGAGCCCACCUGGAGAACGACGGGGAGCAACAAUUCAAGUGUUGGUAAUCAGGAGCCCACCUAGAGAACAAAGGGAAGUAACUUAAGUGUUGGUAAUUAGGAGCCCACCUGAAGAACGAAGGGAAGCAGCAAUUCAAGUGUUGGUAAUCAGGAGCCCACCUGGAGAACGAGGGGAAACAGCAAUUUAAGUGUUGGUAAUCAGGAGCCCAUCUGGAGAGCAAAGGGAAGCAACUCAAGUGGUGGUAAUCAGGAGCCCACCUGGGUGAACAAAGGGAAGGCAAUAGUGGUAAAAAAAGACGAUUCAAGUUCGGCAAUAAGGCGCCUGCCUGGAGAAAAAGGGAAAGCACCUCAGAAUACAAUUCAGGACAACAACAAAGGAAUCUCACCUGGAGAGUACAAGUCAAUAGAGAAGCGGAAAUUGCAAGAUCAAGUUUGAAAAAGUAUAGAUAGGAUUCUUGUAAUUCGUAGAUCAUAGUUUACUCUAGCUUCUUUUAUUUUGUCUUGGUGUAAUAAGGAGUCUAGCGAGCAGUAGCAGCAGCAGCAUCAACAGUGAAAUCACAGCUUCAUGGUAGUCCCAACUACCGAAACUUCUCAAACUACACUGACCUGAUUACUUUAUGACCAAGGAUAUGUAGGCAACUUCGGAAGCAGGGUGCGGUCAAAUCUUUCAAAAUGCUUCCCACGGAAUAUUCAAACGGGCAAAAAUUGCUCAUAUCCGCUCACUUUAUAUUUGCACGAAAACUCUUCAUGUUUACGAGCAAAGAGGGGCAACUGUGAGCACGUGAUUUUUGCCCUAUAUGAAUUACUCCCAUAAAUUCAAGAAAAUAAAAUUUUCCCAUUAUUUUCAAUUUCGUAGAUUUUUGUAGCAUGUUUUGUUAACUAUUUGCAUUUGUCUGUGCACGUUUGUUUAUUUAAAUUCAUGAAAAAUACAAAAAUAUAUUGCAUUUGCAUCUAGGAUUUAAUUUGGCAUUUUGGAAUUAGUUAGUAAUUUAGUUGUUUUACAAAAAAAAUAGAAAAAUAGAAAAAUAACUCAUUUUGUUUUAACUUUUUAACUUUGAAUUUUGUAGCUUCUUUUAAUUUGCGAACUAAUUAAUUGUCGUAAAAAUCAUGUUGAGUAAUUAGUUUAAUUUAGGAAUUUAAUUUAGUUUAAGAGCUAAUUUAGGAUUUAAUUUGAUUUGAAAAGAAAAGGGAAAAGAAUUGAGAGGAUCAAAGAUUUUGGGCCAAAUUAAUUGAAUUCCCCAAGCCCAAUUGCUUUGCACCCGGUUAUACCCGCCAACCCAGCAAAAACCCAUUCCAAAAAAACCGGUCCAAGCCCCACACAAUCCAAACGACCCCGUUUUGCUUCGAGUGUAUCUCAGCAGUUGAUUUCCAUUUAAUCCAACAGACGGGAACUUGGGUCCUUUUGAUAUAAAACUGUCCAAAUGCCCUGCACCCCUGCCUUGUCUCUCUCAUAUCUCCACUCUAAGAGACCACAACCUCAAAACCCUAGCGCCGCCUCCACUCCCCACUGCCUCAGCCGGUGGCGCCGCCUCCAAACCACCCCAAAUUCACACCCUAGAACCCCCUUUACUUCCUUAUCCCAAACCCAUGAUUAUUUACCCUAGAAUCGGACCCAAACUUGUCGAUUUUUAAAUCAAAGGUCUAAACCCUAAAAUCCCAAAGCCCAAAUCGGGGAGUUUAAUGAAGGUUUAAGGACAAAAUAGGUUUCAUUCGUGUGUUCUCGUUUGAGAACACAUGAUUAAAGCCUAUUUCGUUAAAAAAUCAGAGUUCCUUUUGAAGACUUUCAAGAUUUUUUCCACAUGGUUUAGGUAUUCUUCAGUCAUUUUCCUUUCUUUCAUUUUCCUUCUAUUCUUCAUUUUGUUUGUUUAAGUUCUAGUCUCCAUCUCCUCUUACUUCGCUUUUUCCAUUUUGUUUUAGUUUUAAAUCAGUUCUGUCUGUAUGUGUUGAAAUCGAGUUUGUUCAUGCAUGUUAUUUAUUUAUUUAUUUAUUUCUCUGUUUCUUUGUGUGUUUUCAUGUCCUUUUUUUUUAAAGAAAAGAAAUCUAAUUUUUCUCUUGGCAAUUCUGCUUUUCCCAAUGAUUCUAUAUGGGAUUUGAAAUCAGAAGCCCAGGAAGAUAUGCAAUCUAGUCGUGCAAGCUUAGGAUUUUCAGAUUAAACCAUUGGGUCCAUCUGACUUUUGGCCUAUUUAGAUUUCUGGGGUAAUUAACAUGGUUUAAAGGGGUAGUUUAGGAAUCAUAGGUAGAGGAAUCUUAUCUAACUGAAUUAGGAAGCUUCUUGGAAGUUGGGGUAGGGACUUAUGUGAAAAUCUGAAUUUUACUCUAAGGAUACCUAAGCAAAAAUGAAAAUUGUAAAAGGUUCUAAGUGCAAAACUAGUUGUAUUUCUGCAGUCCUAAUACCUUGCCCAUAAAGGCAUCUUUACUUCACUAGCAAGAAAGAGGAAGAAAAAUGAAACAUUAGAGAUAGAAAAACCCCUGAAAACUGAACGGCUGACUAAAAAGAACACUGAAUUUCCUACAGUUCUUGGUGGAAAAUUGCUCAAAAUUUGGCUUGUUUUUCUCUGGAUUUCUGAUUCUCUUAGCUAUAACUCUUUAAAAAGCUCCAUAGUUAUUUUGUUGGCUUGAAGAAAAUGGUUUGAGUUUGGUUUUAAGUUAGGGUGUUGAUUUGUGUUUCCUCCACUAUUCCAUCAAUUGUUCUCAAGCUGGUUUUUACUAUUUUAUUGACUGAAUAUGGGCUCUAUUCUCCUUGCUGCCGGCUAUUGAUUCUUCACUCCUUGGUUUCUAUCUUAUCUCCAGGUAUUUCCUUCAAACCAUGAAUGGAAAUGAAGUUCGUUAUGGCUGUUAUGUUGGAGUCAUGUAAUUCAGGUUGAAAAAAAACUGAUUGUUGUCCCUUCUCUGUUGCAUUACUAGUUUUAAAGUCUAUUAUAUUUUAUUUUUAAAUGCUUGAAGGUUUCUGAUCACAUGUAUAAGUGGUAGAGAACUAAUGCAAGGAAAUUUCAAUAGCAUCAAGUAUGUUUCAGGUCUGUUUUGGCUUGUUGAAGCCAUUGUUGUUGUGUGAAUGUGCUUAAAUUUGUUUUAAGAGUGAUGUCCCUAAAGUUUGAAAUCAUGAACUUUCAUGUUGAGGUUUAUCUAGUGUAGUAUCUUAUUUCAUAAAUUAUUGAUUGAAGGGCCUCUAAUUUAUGUAGCUUAUAGUCACCUUGAAUGAGGAAAAUGGUUUGAUUGCUUACUGCGGGGGGUUAGCCUUGUGUGGAAUUUCUCCAGACAUUUAUAAGUCUGUUUAAGUCGCGAUCCAGAUUUGUGUUCAUUUGACAAAUUUUAUGAGUUUUUAACCUGCCAUAGCAUGUGUCGAAAAGAGGAUCUAUUAAGUCUAACAACUCGCCUAAUUCCCUUUUGAGUUUACUGGAGAUUUAAGUGAUCAUGAGGGUCAGAUGAUUAUGUGUUAUCGAAAGCCAUGUUAGGCUCACAUCUAAAUUUUAUAAUUUGAUGUUUUGUAUGCUUGAAGACUCGAUCUCGAGUCCUGCAACUGUUGAUGCUCAACUCUCCAAGGACUUGGGUUCACGUUGGGCCUGAAAUGGAGACAAGCUGCGUUGCUUUAUAUGUAGGGCUAGUUAUUUGAGUCCAAUGCUCUUUUUCGUUAAUUUCUAACCAUUUUGCCAUUCAUUAAUCCUUUCUAACGUUGGUCUAUUGGUUUAAAAUUGGAUCAAACUUUUAGUCUGAAAAGUAGUGAUAAUUCUUUUCCUUGAUUAAUUAUAUUUGUUAAAGUAGACUUGAGGCGUGCCAUGUUAAAUAAGCUCAGGUAUGGCCCUCAGAAGCGUAGUUUGAAUUCCCUUUAAAAUUGGAAUUAAGGUGCACCGUGCCAAAUAAAAUCUUAAAAUGCAUGGCCCUCGCUUAAUUAAUUUUAAAUCUUUACAAUUCGAGGCGUGCCAUCUAGUUGAACUUCCAUGGCCCUCACAAAUUAAAAAAUGCGUAGUUGCUUUAGGCGCGUAAUUUAAAUUACCUUCCUAAACUCGGGUGUGCAUUUAUGUGACCCAAAUCCAAAUUUCAACAACAUCAAAUAAAAUGUGUCAUGGACCGCGGGUGCAUUUAUGCGACAUGGUUCAAGUUGUGUUUUAGAUGACGUUGAAUCUUUCUAAAAAUAUUUAAAUAAAUGCGGUUAUAAGGUUAAAAUUGUACCAUAGGCUAAAACAUGUAUUAAAAUCAAAUAAAUAGGCCAAUAAUAACAGUUGAGCGACCGUGCCAAAACCACGGAACCCGGGAAUGCCUAACACCUUCUCUCGGGUUAACAAAAUUCCUUACUCAGAUUUCUGUGUUCGCGGACUGUAAAACAUAAUCAAUCUUUCCUCGAUUCAGGAUUUGAACCAAUGACUUGGGACACCAUAAAUUAUACCAAUUGGUGACUCUGAAUUUUAAAUGAAAUUAUCAUGUUUCGAUUAUCACUUUUUAAUUGGAAAAACUCCUUAUACCCUUUCCGGGGUAAGUAAAAGGAGGUAUGACAUGGAAGACUUUGCAAAGUUACCGAUCUAGCCGGAAAAGUCAAGGAUCUGACUUGAAAGGCCAUGGAUGGUCAGAGAAAGGCCAUGAACAUAAGUUGAGCAAGGAUUGGACCAGAUUUCUGAAAUCACACAAAUAGGCCACCAGAGGGUGUAGGAGGCUGGUAUACAUCUCGAACGGCCAUGGGAGACCAUGGAUUAGGUGGGGACUGAGGUCGAUUUUUGUGAAAUUGGGCGGUGGCAGCUAGGGUUCAUGUGAGGCUGCAGAGAGAAUUGAGAGGAGAGGGAUUCAGGGGCAGCGGGUGGCGAGAUAUGAGUUAGGGUAAGGGGUCAUUUGGGUUUAAUUAUGGAAGGGUGAAUGGUGGCCGUUGUUCUGAACGAUCAAUGGCCUAGAUUAAAAGGGUAGGUGAGGAAUUCGGGUUUGGGUUGGUUGAAAUUGGGNNNNNNNNNNNNNNNNNNNNNNNNNNNNNNNNNNNNNNNNNNNNNNNNNNNNNNNNNNNNNNNNNNNNNNNNNNNNNNNNNNNNNNNNNNNNNNNNNNNNNNNNNNNNNNNNNNNNNNNNNNNNNNNNNNNNNNNNNNNNNNNNNNNNNNNNNNNNNNNNNNNNNNNNNNNNNNNNNNNNNNNNNNNNNNNNNNNNNNNNNNNNNNNNNNNNNNNNNNNNNNNNNNNNNNNNNNNNNNNNNNNNNNNNNNNNNNNNNNNNNNNNNNNNNNNNNNNNNNNNNNNNNNNNNNNNNNNNNNNNNNNNNNNNNNNNNNNNNNNNNNNNNNNNNNNNNNNNNNNNNNNNNNNNNNNAAAUUAUAAAAAUAUGUAAAAAUUACUUUAGCCGUAUUUUGACAUAAAUAUAAAGAUCCAAUAAAUGAAUCAUCAGAAAUACUAAUUUUGGACAUAAUUAUUGGGAUUAUAUGGAUAAAAAGGGACAAUAAAUUAAUUUAAAUCUAUGAAAAUUAUAGACAAAUAAUAAAAUAUUUAGACAUGCUUAUAUAUGCAUAUAUAUGCUAUUUGAAAGUAUUUUGCAUAUUAAAAAAUAUAUAGGGAAAAAUUGGGUAUCAACAAAGUCAAUGAAGCAGCCCAACAGUACCGAGGUGUGCUCUUUUGUGGACCUUGUCACAUCAAUGAUAGUUGAUGAUACCAGUGGAAUGAUCAAUGUGGAGGACCCUCUUGAGGCCGUAUUUUUGAAUCUUGAUGUCAAUGAGGAGGCAAGCUGGGUGGAGUGUGUGAAUGCUUUACAUGGAAUGGGCUCGUACUCUUAUGAGCCUAGAAAACUUUCUUUGGAUCUCGAGAAUAGGAAGACUCCACCAACAAAGCCUUCAAUUGAGGAUCCUCCGGUGUUGGAGUUGAAGCCGUUGCCUCCACACCUCAGGUAUGAGUUCUUAGGCCUAAGUUCUACUUUGCCAGUUAUUCUUUCCUCUUGUCUUACUAACAAGCAGGUUGAUGACACAUUGGUGGUACUUCAAAAGCGGAAAAAGGCAAUUGGAUGGACUUUAACUGAUAUUCGGGGGAUGAGCCCUGCAUUCUGUAUGCUCAAGAUUAUUCUAGAAGAUGAUGCAAAGCCCUCCUUGGAGCAUCAAAGAACGUUGAACGAAGCAAUGCAAGAAGUUGUGAAAAAGGAAGUGAUCAAGUGGUUGGAUGCUGGGGUUGUGUACCCCAUCUCUGAUCGCUCUUGGACUUCACCGGUGCAAUGUGUACCGAAGAAGGGUGGCAUUAUCGUGGUUGCAAAUUCACUAAAUGAGUUGAUUAUUACCAGAACCGUCACCGGUUGGAGGGUAUGCAUGGACUACCGCAAGCUGAAUAAACUGACCCACAAGGGUCACUUUCCAUUACCUUUUCUUGAUCAGAUGUUGGACCGACUUGCUGGGCGUGCCUUCUAUUGUUUCUUGGAUGGGUAUUCUGGAUUCAACCAAAUCUUGAUUGCUCCGGAAGAUCAGGAGAAGACCACAUUCACUUGUCCAUAUCGCACCUUUUCCUUUUCUCGGAUGCCUUUUGGGUUGUGUAAUGCACCGGCUACAUUUCAGUGGUGUAUGAUGGCCAUUUAACCGAUAUGGUGGAAGAUAUUUUGGAGGUGUUCAUGGAAGACUUCAGUGUUGUGGGUGAUUCAUUUGAUGAGUGUUUGAAAAAUCUUGAUAAAGUUUUGGCCCGUUGUGAAGAAACUAAUCUUGUUCUCAAUUGGGAGAAAUGCCACUUUAUGGUAGAAGAGGGCAUAGUUCUUGGGCAUAAAAUUUCAAAGCAUGGUAUUGAGGUAGACAAAGCAUAAAUAGUGAUUUCAAGGCUCCCCCCCCCUACCUCUAUCAAGGGAGUUAGAAGUUUUCUUGGGCAUGCGGGGUUCUACCGGAGAUUCAUUAAAGACUUUUCGAAGGUAGUGAAUCCUCUAUGAAAGUUAUUGGAAAAAGAUGCCAAGUUCGUGUUCGAUGAUAAAUGUAUGCAAUCAUUUGAACUUCUCAAGCAUAAAUUGACCACCACCCCUAUCAUUACCGCACCUAGUUGGAGCUUACCCUUUGAGCUCAUGUGUGAUGCGAGCGAUGUUGUGGUUGGGGCAGNNNNNNNNNNNNNNNNNNNNNNNNNGCUAAUUUCCUUGUUGACUGGUAUAAUCCCGUGUGAGCUCUCUUCUAACCAAAGGAAGAAGCUCAAACGGGAUAGUUUGGAUUUCUAUUGGGAUGAGCCAUACUUGUUCAAGAUUUGCACGGAUGGUGUGAUCCAAAGGUGUGUCCCGGAGAAACAAUUGAUUAUCUUAGAGGCUUGCCAUUCCUCACCCAAUUGUUGUCAUCACGGUGGGGUGAGGACCGCCUCGAAAGUUCUUAGUUGUGAGUUUUAUUGGCCAACGUUGUUCAAAGAUGCGGGUGAUUUUGUGAAGAGAUGCGACGAAUGCCAAAGAGCGGGUGGAAUUUCAAAGAAAGAUGAGAUGCCUCUCAAUACCAUUCUUGAAGUGGAUAGCUUUGAUGUAUGAGGCAUUGAUUUUAUGGGCCCAUUUGUUAGCUCUUGAGGGAACACAUACAUUCUUGUGGCGGUUGACUAUGUUUCGAAGUGGGUUGAAGCCGUGGUUUUACCUAACAAUGAGGCCCUGAGUGUUGUUGCAUUUCUCAAGAAGAGCAUUUUUACAAGGUUUGGUACUCCUCGUGCAAUCAUAAGUGAUUAGAGGAGGGUCUCAUUUUUGCAAUAGAGCUUUUGACACUUUGCUUGCAAAGUAUGGUGUCAACCACAAGGUUUAUACUCCCUAUCAUCCUCAAGCGAGUGGCCAAGUUGAAGUCUCGAACAAGGAAAUCAAGAGUAUAUUUUCAAAGACUGUCAAUGCAAAUAGGACCGAUUGGUCAAAGAAGCUGGAUGACGCUCUAUGGGCUUAUAGGACUGCUUACAAGACUUCGAUUGGUAUGUCUCCGUAUCGGUUGGUAUUUGUGAAAGCUUGCCAUCUACCGGUUGAGUUAGAGCACAAGGUCAUGUGGGCUUUGAGGAAGCUAAAUCUUAAAUGUUAUGUUGCAGCCAAUUUUCGUGUGGAGUAGCUCAAUGAACUUGGUGAAUUCAGAUUCCAUGCCUACUCCAGUUUGUCCUUGUAUAAGGACAAGAUGAAGUACCUUCAUGAUAAAUAUGCUCAUGGAAAGGAGUUCAAAGUGGGCAAUUUGGUUCUCUUGUUCAAUUCUCGGUUACGUAUGUUUUCGAGAAAGCCAAAAUGGAGUGGACCCUUUGAAGUAGUGCUUGUGACUCCUUUUGGUGCCCUUGAUUUGAAAAGAAAAUGGGGAAGUUUUCAGAGUAAAUGGGCAUAGGGUCAAGCACUACUUGGGAAAAAUUGAUGACAGCCAUGUGGUGUCACUUCUUCAUCUCAAAUGAUUUAAUGGUAACCUGCGUCAUGCCGCGACGUUAAAUCAGACGCUUCUUAGGAGGCAACCCAUGUGUUUUUCUUCUUGUUUUUAUUUGAUUUUCAUUGUAGUGUAGGGUUUAUUUUUGGACUGACUGGUUGUGAGAUGCUGUAGGAUUAUGUUGAUGCAGUGCAGGAAAAAGUUGGAAAAUGACUACUCUCUGAAGAUUGUCAAUGCGGACCGCACUGCCAUUUUGUGCGGCAGCAAAGACCUCAGUGCGGGGGCAAGAAAUCAAUGCGGACUGUGCUGAUGAAUUUCCAAAAAGUGGAGGUUCUCUGAAGUUUACCACCGUAGCCGCAUUCCAUUUUGUGCGGUCAACGGUGCUCUACUACGGCCGCAUUACAUUUUGUGCGGACCACGGUGGUUGUCUUGUCUGAGCCUUGUGGUUUCGAGCACCGUGGACCGUGGUACCAUUUUGUGUGGUCCGCGGUGGGUAGGUAUGCUGGGUCCCAGGACCUUCUCUAUAAAUAGGACCUGAGACCCUCUUUUUAUACUUUUCGAUCCUUUACUCUUUGAACUUUAAAAAAUUCAUUGUUCAUCUCCCUUCUUGCUCGUAAUUAAUUGCUAAGACUCAUCUAUCUUAAGUACUUCUCACAUCUGGUAAAUCUAACUUCUUCUCAAUUGUUUAAUUUUAUUAUUUUCAUUACAUUUUUGUUUUCUUAAUUCUUCUUCUUCCCUUCCUGUUUUUCCUUCGAAUUUGUAGCUUAGGGUAGUUAAAUUGUUGUGUUAAUUAGGAUUAGGUAGUAAAUGACUGAACCAACAAUUAUGGACUCUUAAUUAGGUGAAAAGUGGACUUAAUUUGAACAUAUCAUGAACCCUAGGUUGGUGCUAAUACUUGGUACUGAGCACGGACCGCGGUGCCCCUAUGCGGUCCGCAAUGGUAUUUUGUGCGGACUGCAUUGAUGAAGGUUUGAAACCUGAUCAUUGAGGACUGUGGCCGCAUUGCAUUUUGUGCAGUCCGCGGUGCCUCAAUGCGGACCGAAAUGGCAUUUUGUGCAGUCUACGGUGCAUUUAUUCAGAGAGUGGGUAGUCCGAACCCCACCUCAGUGCGGACCGCAGUGCCAUUUUGUGCGGUCUGCAUUGCCCUCUUUGCGGCCGCACUGCAUUUUGUGUGGUCCGUACUAUGUAAUAAUCUGCAACAUGUUCUUUUCUGCAACUGUGAACUUCAUUGUUUUUUUUGGAGACUAAUAAAGUCUAAUGAAUGUUGUUUGCAGACAAUGGUGAAAUCACGAGGCAAAAGUGGUAAACAACCAGGAAGGGGAGAGUCCUCCCGGGGUGGUAAAGGCAAAAACAUGAUAAGACUUACCCCACAAGUCCGUCAAAACAUAAAGAACACAAGGAAAAUCAACAGAGCUGCUGAUAGAGCUUUUGAUCAGUCGGGAAGUGAGUACGAGCCCUCCCGGAAGGCAUCAUCAGACUCCGUGCCAGAGUACAUUGCUUACUGGCCGGAGAGAAAGAGAUUGAGAGAUACACCCCUCGCAUCCCCCCACUGUCCAAGCUUCAGUUCAUAUAUCUUUUGAGUCGUCUAAGGGCUCAGCUGACGGUAGUGGAGAUGAGUACUCCACCUCUUCCAUAGCUUCAUUAUCCGGAGAUGAUGCAGUACUGGAGGAGGGGGAAGAAGCACAAGGGGGUGAGCCCUAAGGUGGCGGGGUUGGGUGGUCUAGGAACCCGGAGGCAUGGGAGGACCGGUUCGUCAGUAAGAUUGCCUAGCACAAGUUCAGAGAGUGGUGGCCAGAGAAGAGGUUGAUUCUGGAGAGAAAUAUCAUUACCCAGGAUCUUUUGCCUCACAAUCCAAAUGUGUUGAGGCAAUUCAAUGAUAGAGCUGGAUGGGACUACUUUAUCGAGCAAGUGGAUGACACAAAUGAGCAUUUGGUGUAAGAAUUCUACACCAACGUGGCCCACAUCAAAAAGGGUACCACGAUCACCAAAGUCCGAAACUUGAAAGUGAAGUUUGAUGGCAAGACCAUCAAUGACUAUUUGGGCUUCAUAGAGGAGGAUGAGCCCUGUACCUUGAAAAGAUGAAAUUGGGUGAAGAGGCCCGUCCGUGGUUGGCGGAAUACUUGGCAAUCCCAGGUACCACUCCUGAUUGGCUGACUGCGGGGAUAAAAAUAUUGAGGAGGACACAAAAUUUUGAGGCAAAGGGGUGGAAGGCAUUCGUGUGCAGCAGGCUAGAUCCUACCACCCAUGACAACUCACUCCCACUUCACCGGGCAAUCUUAGUUGCAUCAAUCAUGGUAGGGUACUCGAUCAAUGUCGGGAAUAUGAUGUCCUGGGUUAUUUCACGGGUGGUGAGUGAGGGUGACAGGUCCUACCCAUUCCCCAACUUUUUGACAAUGUACUUCGAGGACCUCAAUGUGGAGAAACGGGGAUUUGAUGUGAAGGUGAAGGCAAAGGCACCCUUCUCAUGGUAUAGCCUACAGGGUGAUGACAACCCCAAAGGCAAGCUAUCCGAAAGGAAAUACACUAUUUCAACUGGCCAGUCUGAAGAGCCAGUAGUAGUAGUGACUACUCCACAGCCUCCUUCCACUGCAGCAGAUAUGGCCCCUGGUCCAUCCACCUCCACAGAGCCAGAGAUACCUUCCACCUCUACCUAUCCAUUGACUGCCCACCGUCUGAGCCAGGCUCUCACUAGCAUCAACAACUGGAUGCAGACAACUACUUCUAAGCUGUCUGUGUUAUCUACUACCAUGACAACUCAGUCAGCUCAUUCGCCUCCACAGGUCCCAUAGUCUAUUGAGGAUGCUCUCAAGGAUAUUCUAGAUAACCAGAAGAAGAUCCUUGAUACUCAGAAAGUUCUCACGGACAUUGUAAAUUCACACAGAAAGGCUCUCAAGGAGCUUUCUAGGGAGGCCAAGAAGAUGAGUAAGACUCAGGCUUCCAAAGAGUCCGUGAAGGAGUUACGGGUUGAGGUUGACAGGUUGAAAGCAGAUCACCUGGCUUUGGAUUUGCUACUACAUGACCCAGUGCCAGCAGCCCAUCCCUAGCCAGUGCAGUCGGAGAGGCCUCCUAAGAGGAAGAGGGUGAUCCCCAGACAAAUGAUGCAGUGAUCCAGUUGGUAGACCCACCGGAGUCUUCCUCCAUUCAGCCACAGGAUGCAGUUUAAGAGCCUGUCCAUGUCCAGGUCCCAGUAGCAUAGCCACAGAUCACAGGGAGUCAGUCUCACGUUCCCGAGCAUAUUGGGGACCCAAGGACCCAGACAGAGGACCCUAUGCAGGUGGAUGUCCCAUAGGGAGUUUCUUUAUCCUCUUUCCUUUAUUUUUGGUGCUUAUUUUGCUUAGUUGGCAUUGAGGACAAUGCCAGCUUUCAUUUGAAGGGGUAAGCCCUACUUUGAUUGAUUUGGAUGACUGUAUAUAUGACAGAUUGUUAUUUCUUUCUUUCUUUUUCAUCUUUGGUAUGUAUAUAAAUUUUGCAUUUCAUUACAUUUUCCGUACUUUUUUUACCUUGGGUCUAUAUAUAAAAGUUAUGUUAUAUUUUAUAUAUUCAUCUCCCUUAUUGUAUAUUCGAUUAAGCCCCCCUCUUGUAAAUAUUCAUUUUACUUUCCGCAAUAUUUCUUCUUAGCUUCUUAUUUAUGUUCGUAGCUUCUUGUUUUGGAUUUUUGCAAUAAGACUUUGGUUUUCUUAAUGCCAUGGUUCUUUCCAAAGGUGGAGUUUGUGUGAACCGGGUGGCUCUUCCCGAUGAUAGAUGUCAUGACUACCUUCUUAAUGGUUUGAGUCUAUUUUUCUUUUCUUUUUGAUUUCUUGUAGUUAAUNNNNNNNNNNNNNNNNNNNNNNNNNNNNNNNNNNNNNNNNNNNNNNNNNNNNNNNNNNNNNNNNNNNNNNNNNNNNNNNNNNNNNNNNNNNNNNNNNNNNNNNNNNNNNNNNNNNNNNNNNNNNNNNNNNNNNNNNNNNNNNNNNNNNNNNNNNNNNNNNNNNNNNNNNNNNNNNNNNNNNNNNNNNNNNNNNNNNNNNNNNNNNNNNNNNNNNNNNNNNNNNNNNNNNNNNNNNNNNNNNNNNNNNNNNNNNNNNNNNNNNNNNNNNNNNNNNNNNNNNNNNNNNNNNNNNNNNNNNNNNNNNNNNNNNNNNNNNNNNNNNNNNNNNNNNNNNNNNNNNNNNNNNNNNNNNNNNNNNNNNNNNNNNNNNNNNNNNNNNNNNNNNNNNNNNNNNNNNNNNNNNNNNNNNNNNNNNNNNNNNNNNNNNNNNNNNNNNNNNNNNNNNNNNNNNNNNNNNNNNNNNNNNNNNNNNNNNNNNNNNNNNNNNNNNNNNNNNNNNNNNNNNNNNNNNNNNNNNNNNNNNNNNNNNNNNNNNNNNNNNNNNNNNNNNNNNNNNNNNNNNNNNNNNNNNNNNNNNNNNNNNNNNNNNNNNNNNNNNNNNNNNNNNNNNNNNNNNNNNNNNNNNNNNNNNNNNNNNNNNNNNNNNNNNNNNNNNNNNNNNNNNNNNNNNNNNNNNNNNNNNNNNNNNNNNNNNNNNNNNNNNNNNNNNNNNNNNNNNNNNNNNNNNNNNNNNNNNNNNNNNNNNNNNNNNNNNNNNNNNNNNNNNNNNNNNNNNNNNNNNNNNNNNNNNNNNNNNNNNNNNNNNNNNNNNNNNNNNNNNNNNNNNNNNNNNNNNNNNNNNNNNNNNNNNNNNNNNNNNNNNNNNNNNNNNNNNNNNNNNNNNNNNNNNNNNNNNNNNNNNNNNNNNNNNNNNNNNNNNNNNNNNNNNNNNNNNNNNNNNNNNNNNNNNNNNNNNNNNNNNNNNNNNNNNNNNNNNNNNNNNNNNNNNNNNNNNNNNNNNNNNNNNNNNNNNNNNAAAGUGACAGGUGUCUCUCUAACCCCUUAGAAAGGAGUGAAAUGACUUAAAAAGUCAAGUGAAUGUGUGCCAAAAUGAAGCAAAAGAAUUGCUUAAGGGAAGAUGGAACCUACUUAGACCAAACAUUUCCUACCCUGAACCAUAAGCCUUCACUAUGUCUCCACAAAAGCCCUAUAUGAUAUUGAGUAGAAUGAAGCUUACAUUAGUGACGACUCACAUAAGGGGCAAGCAUAUGGUACUUAGAGCCGGACGUAUGACUUUUCCUUGAGAGAGAUGACUGUAUUUCCAUUAACCUCGUUCUGAGUGUCAUUACCCUAAAAGUGAGGUUUGCUUAGGGAGAGUUGAGGAUGUGUGAGUUUGGGUUCCACAAUGACCAAAGUAAUAGAAAGAGUUUCUUUGAUGUGUUGAGUCAACUCUUGAUGCUCUUGUGUCGCACAAAAUCCAUGGUGUUUAAAAGAGUGAAUGUAGUUAAUGAUUCAUUUUUAUUGAGGGCAAUUGUUAGUCCCAAUUGAUUAUAGAUGAGGUCACUUUAGAACAACUGAAUUUUCUUGGAUUUUCUCUUAAGGGGUGAGUCUUAUUUUAUUUGCUUGCGGACAAGCAAAAUCUUAAGUUUGGGAGAGUUGAUAACUAGGGACUAUGAUGCAUUUUACACUCCUUCUUGCUUAAGUUUUGAUUAGAAAGGUGUAAAAAAUAGUCCCAAAGGCUCACAAGUUGUGAUUGAUUGCAGGUUUAAUCAACAAGGUGACAAGGUGUCAAAAACCAACUCAAAAAGGAGUGAAACUUGCAUAAGUACCAAGACAAGACAAAGCUCAGUCAAAACACCAUUCUGUGCGGUCUGCAAAAGUGAAGUUCAGAGAGGUUGCUUUUCAGGCCAUAAGGGCAAUGCAGCCGCAAAAGGGUAUUGUGCGAUCCGUAUUGGGUUCACCGCGGCCGCACUCGAUUUCAUGCGGUACGCAGAGCCAAGGUUCAGAUAAGUGGCAUUUUGGAGGAUGAAGCCCAAUGCGGUCCGCGGUCCAUUUCAUGCGGACCGCACUAGAAGCCACCGCAGCCGCACUCGAUUUUGUGCGGUCCGCAUUGCCCAAGUUUAGAGAGCACAUUAUUGGAGCCUAGAGCCUUAGUGCUGCCGCACUCAAUUUUGUGCGGUCCGCACUAGCUCCGCAGGGGUAUUUUUGUGCAGAAUUUUCAGUUUAGUAUAAAUAGUUUCUUUUCUCAUUUUUAGGUCAUCAGAUAGUUUUGUACGCAGAGCUGCGCUCAUGACUUCAUUUCUUUUACCUAUUUUGAGUAAUAUUAGCUUAAUUUCAACAUUGAAUCUUCAAGUUUAAUUUAGCAAUUAAUUAUUAUGAGAUUCUCUUCAUCUAUUGCCUUGUUUUUAUCUCUAAUUAUGAGUAGCUAGACCCAUAAUAUAGGGUUAUGACUCAACCCUAGUAUGGGUAAUUGAUGGGUCUUGUAUUUUAGGGCUUGAUUGACUAUGAGCAUUUGAUAUUUUGACUAAUUUCAUGUUUAAUUGUUGAAUUAGUAGUUGCAAACACUAGUUAUUGUUUAGUUGACUUUGGCUCUUCUUGAUAAAGAGAGCCUAAGUCUCUAAAAUUGGUCCAACAAGGAAUUGGGGCGUACUCAAGAGAUUGAUAGCCCCAAUUAAAGGGUUAAACCUAGAGAUAGUAAUACCCCACUUGAACCUCAAUUGCUUGCACAAAUUUGCAUACCCAAAUGGACUUGAGAAAGUCAAUUAGGGCAAAAUGACUUGAACCACUGAGAGGUGUAGAGUUAGUAGAAUCGUGCAAUGGUUAUAUCAUACUCCCCAAAUAUGACAAUCCAGCCUUAGACUCAAGAAUCCGUUAAUUAACCACCUAGGAGAAAGUCACUACCCUAGUGCCUUUUAUCUAUUUGAUCAAUUCUCAAUAGAUUAAUCUUAGCUUUAUUUAGCAUAAUAUAGCAUCGUAGUAUUAUACAAUUAGAAGUAAAAUCAAAACCCAAAAAUGUUUAGAAGUGUAAUUUGUAACAAAUACACAACUCCACUUUAGAUAGACACUCAACUCCAACAUCUAGCUCCCUGUGGAAAUCGAUCCCGACCUCAUCGGGUAAAAGCUGCUUCGACCUCUCUCGCUACUCAAUAGUAGUGCAGGGUUGGGCUCGAUCACUUGUUCUCAAAAUUCUUAACUUCCCUAAUAAUUUCCUCAAGUAUUUCGUCUUCCUCAUCUGAAUUACUAUUCUAGUAUUGUGUUGCCUCAUUACAUGUCAUAGUCACUCGUUCAUCAAGAAAAGUAAUAAUAACAUUGUAGAAAGAAAAAGUGUAAAAAUAGUAAUGAAUAAUAAAGAACAAAUGCAUUUGAUCAAAAUCGAAAAAUCAUCCAGACAAGUGCGGCUCGAUGAAUCGAGCAUUUAUUUUGAAACAAGUAAAAAUUACUAAAAUCUUAAAUGCCUAGAACGGCUAUAGAAGUGAAAUCUACCAAGCUACCCAAGGACUCGGUGAGCUAGGGAUGGUGUGGCAGUCCAGUUCCUGAGAACGGCUCCCUUCUUUACAGUCUGAAUAGUGAGGCCUUCUUCCUCCUCCUCGAUUAUGGCACUGCAGUCCAUGUCCUCAUCCUCUAAGAACAAAUUCUUCAACCCAGCUAGUGCUUCCUCUUCUGAAGUCCCCCAUAUCGUAUCAGCUUGGUGAAAAGCUUGUUCCAAGCGUGGCAAUAGUUGCUCGAGAGGGUAGUACGGUCCACGCUAUGGAGACGACCAAUCCUUGUACUCUUGCCAUGUGUACUGGUAUCCGAGCCCAAAGGCGGUACCAUGAUUUUUCAGCUGUAUCAGUUUAGUGAUACCUUGGAGGUUCUUUCCCAAUCAUUUGCCGGGUUCAUAUCCCGACCAUGCUAGUAUGCUUUCUAUUUUGUUACUCCACUACUUAUCCUUUUCGACGACAUUGACCCAUUCAAUGUGAUGAUAGGUUUCCCCUCCUAGCCUUCUUUUAUGUCCAAUGGCUGGGAUGGUUUGAUUGGUGUAGAUGGGGUUACUUCUAUCUCUGUGAAUGAUUACCUCUUGGCGGCUCUAUUCAAACUUCACGGCUUGAUGUAGUAUGGAAGGCACGGCUCCAGCGGCAUGGAUCUACGGUCGGCCCAACAGAAGAUUAUAUGAGGCUGGUAGGUCGAGUACCUAAAAUUCAACGUCAAACCAAGUUGUCCCCAUCUGCAAGCAAAGGUUGAUUCCCCCAAUCGUGGCCCUCUAGGACCCAUCGAAAGCUUUCGCAUUCAUGUUUCCUAAACGUAUUUCAUGGAAACCUUUGUCAAACCUUUUCAGAGUAUCCAAUGGACAAAUAUUUAAGCUUGAACCUCUAUCAACCAAGACCUUGGCAAUGAACUUGUCUUCAAAUUAUACCAUAAUAUGUAAUGCUCGAUUGUGAUUCAGCCCUUCAGGUGGUAGCUCAUCUUCGUGGAAGAUAAUCUUAUGACUUUCCAAUACUUGCCCUACCAUGUUGGCCAUUUCUCCGCUAGUGAUGUUAUUGGGUACAUAAGCCUCACUCAGUACUUUUAUUAAAGCGUUCUUAUGUGUCUCUGAAUUCUACAAUAGUGACAGGAUAGAUAUCUGAGUAGGAACUUCGUUCAAAUGGUCAAUGUUGGCCCAAGUAAAAGUUAGUUUUGAAGACUGACAAAGGAACUCAGGCAUGAACCAGGUCUAUCCUAGUGGUCCAUCCCCCAGGUUCAUAAAAACGGGCAAAUUCGAGCAUGUGGGUUGCACGUGAAGGAUAUAAGCUUAACUUGGUGUAUUUAAUAUCUCCUGAUUGAAAAGGUUGCAUAAUUGAUAAGGAGAAUGACUCCUUAAUCAAAGAGAACACUAUCCAAGAUAGGGAAGGAAUUAGAGGUUGAAAUCAACUAGAACUCUUCCACAAAGAAGAGUUGCAUCAGAACUCUAGUUAUUUCUUCAUCUACUAACUCUAUAAAUUGCAGGAUGUUCUCAAAUUACAAGUGUUGCACAAAAAACCAGAAGUUAAACGUGAAUUGAGAGCAAAAUAGCAAGGCUUUUUGCAAGCAGUUCGUGUGUGAUUCAAGUGUGCAAACCUGAAGCUACAUGAACCAGAUUGAAGAACCAAUUCCAUAAAGAGUUUUAUGUGUCUUUCUUUAUUUUUAGUUCAAUUGUAGUAGGUGUUUUCAUAUUACAACUUUCAACUUUAGCUAGAAGCAAUUGUAAUAGGUACUUUGAGUAUUCAAGUUAGAGUUAACUUGAAGUUGUCGCAACAGUUAGAGGAUGGUUGCUACAACAGGAUUAGAGGUAAUCCUUAGGUUUACAAAGAGUUUGUAAAUGCUAUUUUGGCUCAGUGAUUUAGUAAAGUGUUGGGGAAAAUACUACUGAGCAGUAGGUCGUGGUUUUUUCACAUUUUAAGCCGGGUGUUUUCCACGUAAAAUACUUGUGUUCUUUACUUUCUACAUUUAUUAUUCCGCAACAGUAGUAGAA